GAAAAGGACAUGGGUACCAAAAAGGACAUGGGCAUGGGCAUGGGAAACCUGGUCAUGGGGGACCUGGCCAUCCACCUGGUCAUGGUGGUGCUGGUGAGGAUGUGGAAGAGGGGACGCAGAAUUAGUGUAAUCAAUCCUUAAUUAUGUGGGCUACGCAUGAUUAGGGUGUGUUUUAUGUAAGUUUAUGAAAGCGUGUGUAUCAAUAAGGCAUGUGGGCUUAGGGUUACUCUCUAAGACCAGCAUGGCUGUGUUGUAGCUUCUAUGCUUAAUAUAAUGCUUUUUCAUGUGCUGUGCUAAAAUGGAGUAUGAUGAAUGCCGUCGGGUGAUCUACCCUUUUUUUUUUUCUUGGGAUUAUAUUAUUUACUUCGGAGUAAUUUUGUUGAGAUAUGAUUUUGUGUAAAUAUACUUACCAUCAUUGGUUUCAAAUUAUAUUAGUUUAUACCCUCACCAACAUACCCACCUCAAAUCUUUACCUAAAAUUGAUCUAAAAACCUAAAAUUUAUCUAAAAAGUAAAUUGUGAACAUGCGAAAUUUAAAACCAGCAACAACUUAGGCUAUGUUUGGUUUUCGAAAAAUUUGAGGAAAAUGUAAAGGAAAGAAAAUAGAGAGGAAAAGUAAAAGGAAAGAAAAGGAAAAUAAAAAAUAGAGUUAAAGAUAAUAAAUCAUUUUUAUUUGUUACUUUAAAUUUAUAUUAUUUAUUUUAAUUUAUCAAUAUAAAAAUUAAAUAAUUUUAAAAUAUAUAAGUUUUUAAUUAAUUUUAAUUAUAUUUAAUUUUCUUUGUAAUAUUUUAUAGGAUAAUUAAAUAUGAGAAAAUCAUUUUUUAUCAUUUUUUUUUUCUUUUGUACUUUUCGGGAACCAAACAUAACUUUAGUGUAUUUACACUCAACCUUAAAAGUAUAAAUGAGAUUAAUUUUUAUUUGGAAUUAUUGGAAUUUGGAUUUGAAAAGAAAGAAAUUUUUUUUUUGAAUUGAGAAAAAAAUGAAGGUAAAAAGUAUAAUAACCAAUUAUAUAGUUAUAAAAAGAAUUUGCAUGGUAAAGCCUUUUAUUGAGAGGUCUUAGUUUUCUUUGAGAUAUUUUAAGUUGAAGAUUAUUGCAGUCAAUCCUAUUUUGUGGGUUAUUUAUAUAAAUUCAUUGAAAUUGUAGCUCGGGAGUAAAUGAAAUACAAAUAGGAUAUGCAUUCUCAGUCCUCUAUUUAAGAAACCAAAUGUAGUAUAAAAAAAAAUACUUAUGCAAUUUAAUAUAACAAUAAUACUUCCUAUCCAACACUUAGUCCAAGAGUUACUUAUAUUCCCAUUUUUAUAAGUAUACCAAAUAUAAUUAUUGUUGGUGCACAAUGAAUGAUUACUCGAUUUGGGUAGUUUUUUCCACUGGAUUGGAUGAUUUUGUAAAAAACGAGUCGUUGGAUGGUUGUUUUGGGCAUCCUUCUUCAAUGGUUAAGUUAGUUUGAGAAUUUUUAAGGCAAAUAUUUUGUAUGGGUUUAGAGUGUAUAUCUUUAUUUAUUUUUAACGUUCGAUGUUCUUUUAUAAUAGAGGCAUCUUAUAAUGGUGUUUAUAUUUUAUGAUUAUUAUUUAUUGUAGUUUUAGUGCAUGUUAGAGCAUAACGAUUUAGUCAUUGGAAAUGAUUGAUUAUUUAUAUUAUGAAAUAAUUACCUUUGAAAUGACACAUAAUGAUUGUAUUUAUAUUUUUACCAUUGGAAAAAUAAUUAUUGACUCUAAUUUGGUUCUAUGUUAGUCGGGCGAUACAAGUUGUAUCUAAAUCAUUAAAUGAUGAGAUUUUGAUUAUUGAAUGUGAAUAGAAAUGGAGGUGAUAAAAAUUUAAAGGCAUAAAUAAAUGGAAUUAAUGUAUAUAAAAAAAAAAGAUUUGAAAAUGGUUUAAGUGUUGGCAUGCGAGGGUGUCCUUUGUUAUCUAAGAUCGAUUUGAAGAGAAUUGAGAGGUCGGUGGACAUGAGGACAGAUAUGAGAAUGACGUGAGAUGGGACGUAAUCAUUCAAGAGAUAUCAUGUGAGUAGAAAUUAGAAUGUAGUGAACUUUGCCCAUGCAUAUGGAGUUGAAUUUUAAGCUCAAAUCCAACACCUGUCACCCAUGUGGCACUCUCAAUUGACAUAAUAGUGUUGUGUUUUGGACUUGGUGACGUGUGGAGGGACGUACGUAUACAUGAAUGGGCUGUUUCAGGGACUUUUCUCAAUAGUAUAGUAAUUUAAAAAAGUUAUGCUUAAAUUAUUAUAGUAGAAGAAGUUAUUACAAAUAUAUGGUAGUUUUUGCCACAUAGGAGAAAGGAGAGAGGAGAUAGGAGAGAGGGUGAACGGAUAAUUUUUUUUAAAAAAGGGAACUCGUCUCUUGAAGAGACGAGUUCCAUGAAAAAAAAAUAUAUAUUUUUUAAAAAAAAUUCCUAUUUACUCAAGGGAACUCGUCUCUUGACGAGUUCCAUGAAAAAAGACAAGGGAAAGACGAGUUCCUAGGGAAAAAAAAAUAUUUUUUUUAAAAUAUAUUUUUUAUUUAAAAAAAAUCCUAAAUUAAAUUAUAAAAAAAAUUUCCUAAAGGGAACUCGUCUCUUCAAGAGACAAGUUCCCAUGUAAAAAAAUUUUUUUUUUUUUUAAAAUAUAUAUAUUUAAAAAAAAAAAAUUUCCUUUUUUUUUAAUUUGGGAUUUUUUUAAAAUAAAAAAUAUAUUUAAAAAAAAAAUAUUUUUUUCCCAUGGGAACUCGUCUCUUCAAGAGACGAGUUCCCUUUAGCAAUUUUGAGAAAUUGUUUUUUUUUUUUUAAUAUAUAUAUAUUUAAAAAAAAUAUUUUUUUUACAUGGGAACUCGUCUCUUGAAGAGACGAGUUCCCUUUGGAAUUGUUUUUUUUUUUUUUUUUUAUUUGGGAUUUUUUUUUAAAAAAAAUAUUUUUUUUACAUGGGAACUCGUCUCUUGAAGAGACGAGUUCCCUUUGGAAUUGUUUUUUUUUUUUUUUUUUUUAUUUGGGAUUUUUUUUUUUUAAAAAAUAUUUUUUUCCUAUGGGAACUCGUCUCUUGAAGAGACGAGUUCCCUUUAGGANNNNNNNNNNNNNNNNNNNNNNNNNNNNNNNNNNNNNNNNNNNNNNNNNNNNNNNNNNNNNNNNNNNNNNNNNNNNNNNNNNNNNNNNNNNUUUUAUUUAUUUAAAAAUAUAUAUUUUUUUUUACAAGGGAACUUGUCUCUUCAAGAGACGAGUUCCCUUUAGCAAUUUUGAGAAAUUGUUUUUUUUUUUUUUUUAAUAUAUAUAUAUUUAAAAAAAAAUAUUUUUUUUACAUGAAGAGACGAGUUCCCUUUGGAAUUGUUUUUUUUUUUUUAUUUUUUUAUUUUUUUAUUUGGGAUUUUUUUUAAAUAAAAAAUAUAUUUUAAAAAAAAAUAUUUUUUUUCCCAUGGGAACUCGUCUCUUGAGUUUCCUUUAGGAAUUUUUUUUUUUUAAAAUAUAUAUAUAUUUUUAAAAAAAAUAUUAUUUUUACAUGGGAACUCCCUUUAGGAAUUUUGAGGAAUUGUUUUUUUUUUUUUUUAAUAUAUAUAUUUUAAAAAAAAAAUAUUUUUUUUUACAUGGGAACUCGUCUCUUGAAGAGACGAGUUCCCUUUGGAAUUGUUUUUAUUUUUUUAUUUUUUUUAUUUUUAUUUUUAUUUUUAAUUUGGGAUUUUUUUAAAUAAAAAAUAUAUUUAAAAAAAAAAAAUUUCCCAAGGGAACUCAGGAAAUUUUUAUUUUUUUUAAAUAUAUAUAUUUUUAAAAAAAAUAUUUUUUUUUUACAUGGGAACUCAUCUCUUCAAGAGACGAGUUCCUUUGAGGAAUUGUUUUUUUUUUUUUUUUUUAAUAUAUACAUUUAAAAAAAAAAAUAUUUUUUUUUUACAUGGGAACUCGUCUCUUCAAGAGACGAGUUCCCUUUGGAAUUGUUUUUUUUUUUUUUUUUAAUUUUUUAAUUUGGGAUUUUUUAAAUAAAAAAUAUAUUUUAAAGAAGAGACGAGUUCCUUUAGGAUUUUUUUUAAAUAAAAAAUAUAUUUAAAAAUUUUUUUUUUUCCCAUGGGAACUCGUCUCUUGAGUUCCCUUAGGAAAUUUUUUUUUUUAAAUAUAUAUAUUUAAAAAAAAAAAAUAUUUUUAAAAAAAAAAAAUUUUUUUUUACAUGGGAACUCGUCUCUUCAAGAGACGAGUUCCCUUUAGGAAUUUUGAGGAAUUGUUUUUUUUUUUUUUAAUAUAUAUAUUUUAAUUAGGAAUUUUUUUUUUAAAUAUAUAUAUUUUUUUAAAAAAAAUAUUUUUUUUUACAUGGGAACUCGUCUCUUGAAGAGACGAGUUCCCUUUGGAAUUGUUUUUUUUUUAUUUUUUUUUUAUUUUUUAUUUUUUUAUUUGGGAUUUUUUUAAAUAAAAAAUAUAUUUAAAAAAAAAAAUAUUUUUUUUCCCAAAGGGAACUCGUCUCUUCAAGAGACGAGUUCCCUUUGGAAUUGUUUUUUUUUUUUUUUUAUUUUUUAUUUUUUAUUUUUUAUUUGGGAUUUUUUUAAAUAAAAAAUAUAUUUAAAAAAAAAAAUAUUUUUUUCCCAAAGGGAACUCGUCUCUUCAAGAGACGAGUUCCCUUUGGAAUUGUUUUUUUUUUUUUUUUUUUUUAAAUUUGGGAUUUUUUUAAAUAAAAAAUAUAUUUUAAAAAAAAAAUAUUUUUUUUCCCAUGGGAACUCGUCUGAAGUAGGAAUUUUUUUUUAAAUAUAUAUAUUUUAAAAAAAAAUAUUUUUUUUUACAUGGGAACUCGUCUUUUUUUUUUUUUUUUUUUUUAAUUUAGGAUUUUUUUUAAAUAAAAAAUAUAUUUUAAAAAAAAUAUAUUUUUUUUCCCAUGGGAACUCAUCUCUUGAAGAGACGAGUUCCCUUUAGGAAUUUUUUUUUUAUGGGAUUAUUUUUAAAUAAAAAAUAUAUUUAAAAAAAAUAUAUAUUUUUUUUUCCCAGGGGAACUCGUCUCUUCAAGAGACGAGUUCCCUUUAGUUCCAAAUUGUUUUUUUUUUUUUUUUUAAUUUGGGAAUUUUUUAAAAAUAAAAAUAUUUUUUUAAAUGGAAACCCGCCCCUUGGAGAAAAGAGUUUCCUUGAAAAAUGGUUUUUUUUUUUUUUUUUAAUUUGAAAAUUUUUUAACAAUAAAUUAUAUAAUUUUUUCCAGGGAACCCCCCUCCUGAAAAGACAAGCUCCCCAAAGAAAAGGGGAAUUUUCUUAAAAAANNNNNNNNNNNNNNNNNNNNNNNNNNNNNNNNNNNNNNNNNNNNNNNNNNNNNNNNNNNNNNNNNNNNNNNNNNNNNNNNNNNNNNNNNNNNNNNNNNNNUUUUUUUCCCAUGGGGAACUCAUCUCUUGAAGAGACGAGUUCCCUUUAGGAAUUUUUUUUUUAUGGGAUUAUUUUUAAAUAAAAAAUAUAUUUAAAAAAAAUAUAUAUUUUUUUUCCCAUGGGAACUCGUCUCUUCAAGAGACGAGUUCCCUUUAGUUCCAAAUUGUUUUUUUUUUUUUUUUUAAUUUGUGAAUUUUUUAAAAAUAUAUAUAUUUUUUUUAAUGGGAACUCGUCUCUUGAAGAGACGAGUUUCCUUGAAGAAUUGUCUUUUUUUUUUUUUUUAAUUUGAGAAUUUUUUUACAAAUAUAUAUAUAUAUUUUUUCAUGGAACUCGUCUCCUGAAGAGACGAGUUCCCUUAAGUAAAUGGGAAAUUUUCUUAAAAAAAUAUAUAUAUUUUUUUUCAUGGAACUCGUCUCUUCAAGAGACGAGUUCCCUUUUUAAAAAAAAUUUAUCGAUUCACCCUUUCUCCUAUCUCCUCUCUCCUCUCUCUCACCUUCUCUCCUAUCUCCUUUCUCCUCUCUCCUAUGUGGCAAAAACUACCAUAUAUUUGUAAUAACUUCUUCUACUACAAUAAUUUAAGCAUAACUUUUUUAAAUUACUAUAUUAUUGAGAAAAGUCCCUGUUUCCAGUUUCCAACUAUGUCAUUAAAGGAAGGUUCAUGAUUUUUUUGGAACUUUAAAAUGAUAUGACAAACACAGCGUAGCAUUUUUCUUAAAAGGAAAUCCAUAUAAAACAAUUUAUAUUUCUAAUUACCAAAUUCUUCGUACCAAUAUUUAGAGUGUUUGAUAAUAAUUAUAAAAAAUAUUUAUACUUUUUUUAACACCAAAAUUUUUUUAUCUUUCACAUAUAAAAAAGUUAAAAAUACUUUCUAAAACUUUAAUACAUUCAUUUUCAUUUGAAGUGGGUAAUCGAGGCAAUGUUUGUCUUUUUCUUUUUGAAUUGUUGCUAUCUUUGAGUUAAUCCUUUGGAGCCUCAUUCUACAGUAUGAAGAGAAGAACAAGUAAAAGUGGUCCUCCAUCAGUAAGUUAUUAACAAUUACCCAAUGGCAAGGUGGGAAAUUUGAUAGGAUAAAAAAAAAAAUCCUUAAAUGGACAUUUCAUUCAUUUGAAUAACAUGGAAAUGAAAUCCCAUGAGUGAAAUUUUAAUUCUUCCUAAUUAGGGGUAUUUUAAUUCCAUAGUAUAACUUAUUUUUAAAAUUACUUUUCAAAAAUUAAAAAAUUAAAGACCUUUUUAGAUAAGUUAUUUUUAAAAUUAAUUUUUAUUUUGAUUUUGUAAAACAUACAAAUUUUAGAUUCAAUUUAUAUAAUAUAAAUUAAGGGUGCUUUUGACAAUGACUCUAGGAAGCCUUUUUUUUUUAAUCCUAAAAUGUGUUUUUGAAAAAAAAAUAAUUAGGUGUUUGACAAAUUUUAGGAAACACUUUUAAAAAUUUGAAGAGUGUGUUUGACAUUGAUUUUAUAAAAUAAUUUUUUUUUUUACAUUUUUAAUACUUGAAAAAUAAAAUUUUUAUAGUGUUAGAAAAAUUAAAAGUGCCUCUUAGAAUCACUACCAAAUGGGGUCGAAAAAUUACUUAUAAUGUUUUUUUAGACAAACACUUGAUAGAUGAUUAUCCUAAAAACACUUUUAAAGAAAAUACUUUCACUAAAAACAUUUCUGAGUAGUAACAUUAAUUGAUUUAUUUUGUUAAAAAUAAAUAAUAAUAAUUUCCAAUACUAUUUAUAUGAUUUUAUAAAUAUUAUAAAAAUAUGGAUAUUAACAUAUUAUAAAAGCAUAAUUAAUUUAUUUUGUUAAAAAUAAAGAAUAAUUAUUCAAAAUUAAUAAUUGCUAAUACUAUUCUAUUUUAAAUAAAUAUAAAAACAAACAAAAUUUAAAAUUUUAAGUUAUAAAUGAGCUAAAAUUUUCAAUAUGUAUGCAUUUAUUACUUAAUUAUGAAGAUGACAUUGUGAAUUAUUUUAUUUGAUCUAUAAUUAAUUAAUUAAUUAUUUAAAUUUUGAAUUAUUCUUAAAAAAUUAUAUAUAUGUUUUAAAUUCUUUAAUAAAUCUUAUCAUUUUUAAAAGCAAAGUAAAAUAAAGAAUUGUUCAAUACAAAGUCUUGUUUAAUUUGAAAUUCAUUGUUAGGAAAGAAAAAAAAAUUCAGAAGAACAGUUCUCUAUUUUACUUUGCUUUUAAAAAUUGUGUUUAAAGAACAACAACCAUAUAGUGAUAUAAAUUUUUAAAAACAAUUUUGUUUUUAAAUCACACGACCAAAUAGGAUUUUAUUACCGGGACCCCAGAUCUUUCUGUUCUCAUACCUUGGAUCGUAUAGGUGCAUGUAAACUACUCUAUGCCUUUAGAUCUUAUGUAAUGGAAGCAAAAAAUAAAAUUUUAAUAUUCUAAGAUAUAAAGAAAAGUCAUUAGAAAACUUUACCUUUAAUUUAAACGUUUUCAAAUCAAUUUCGCUCAAUGAAGUUGAAGCUUGAACAGUUCGAAGGUCUCGUACACCCAAGAUUUUCCUCUCAAUGACUCGAAUUACGAUCUUAACACUCCAAAGUGUAGGCUUUGGGAGGGAGGAAUCCUAGGCUCUUUAUCUUUAGAGGUAGAAGACGACUAUCUUUCAAAGUGAUGAAAACCCUAACUCCUAGGGGGUAUUUAUAGAGUUUCCUUAUUAGGCUUAAGUGACUUGAGCCUACCAAGGCUUAAGUGACUUGAGCCUACCAAAGCUUAAGUCAUUUAAUUUAGUCUAAAAUGGGUCCUAAUUAAUUAAUUAACUAUAUAUGUCUAUUUAAUUAAUUAAUUCGCACAUUUUAAAGAACUUGUUUGCUAUUCCCUAUGCAACCUUGCAUAAUUAUCAAAAUGCUCUUAUGCACAAAAGUGAAUUGAGAGUCAAUCCAAACCUCAUAAACCGUACCACCAUGAUAUAUGAGCUCAGAGUGGGGAUUAUUGGGACCAAUAGGAGUAUUGAUUUCCUCAAAAUCCAAAUAUGAAGUUGAUUCAAUAUUCCAUUAAAGAGAAUCAACCGCACUUUUAGUACCUUAUAUAAAUAUUAACGAGACAAAACUCAGGCUUGUGACUUACUAUCCACUGUAUGUAAACUUCUCAUGAACUGAUGUUUGUAAUUUAAUAAGGUAGUAUUAUUAUCUAUCAAGAUUGCCUCUAUAAUCCUUGAGUUAUAGAUCUCAUUUAUCAUGUAAUCAAUUGACAUACUCUAACUCUAAGAAGUAUAUGUAAUGCCCUAAACCCAAGAGUAAAAUCAUAAUUUAAAAUAAUAAAUAAUUUAAUAAGGGUAAAAAUGUCUUUUCUUAUUUAAAAUUCCUACGUAUAAAUUAAAUAUUUUUUAUAUUCUCUACUCAAAAAAUCCUUUUACAUGUAGAUAGAAAAUAUCAAAGAGCGUAGGGUUUGAAUAUCAAUUUUUCAGGUAAGAUUUUAAUUCUUAAAUUAAUAUUUUAUAUUUGUUAAUUAGUUUUAAACACUUUAGAUAUCUUUUUGGAAGAUCUCAAUCUAGAUUAUGGUUUGUUAAAUUAAUUUUUAGAUCAAAAGACUGAAAAUUUAUGAAUGUGGAUUAAUUUAUGAUGAAAAUAUGAAAAUUUAGAAAAUUUUAAUUGAAUAGAAAAAAAUGAAUAAAAAAUCAAUGGAAGAAAAAAAAUUUUAAAAUUUUAAAAUAAAUAAAUAAAUUGUUUGUGGAGGCUUUAGAUUGGAAAAAAAGAAAAGAAAAGAAAAUGUGUAGAUAUAUUUACCAUGUGAAAAAAAUAAUAAAAUAAAUAAAUAAAUAUAAUGGGAGGCGUGUAGGUGGUUUUGUAGAAUGUUGUGGGAUUAAAAAAAUAAAAUAAAAUGAAAUUGGAGGACACCUGUGUUGCCAAAGUGUUGAGUUCACUAUAAGAAAAAAGGGUAAUAAUGACGCUUUUUAGGCGUCAAUAAAUGUAUACGAUGACGCUUCUCGAAAGCGUCCUUUUCGCCUCUGUCAAGGAAUGGGUGCAGGCAACCAUGUCGCUUCUAGACAGCGUCAUUGUUGAUUGGUUUAUAUUAACACGUUAAAAAACGUCAUUAUUGAUCUACCUAUGUUAACACUUACACUAGCGCCAAGGAAUGGCCAAAAUAUCAUUUGUCUAUUUCGACGCUAAAAAAAGUGUCAUCUUAUGUGGAUAAUAAUAUUGAAAAUCCCCUUGUUGAAAUGAUAUAUUUUGUAUGUCCUGUUAUAUAUAAUUUUGGCUGCAUGAUUAUUUAUAAAGUAUUAAACAAUAACUUCAAUAUUAAUAACUACAUCUUCCAAAAGAAAUUGAAUAAAUUUGGGAAUAAUAUAAUGAUAAAGAACUAAUGUCUACAUAGUUAAUUAAUACGCAAAUUUGUAAAUGUAUCAAAAUAUUUACAAGCAUAUUUUCCAACUUCAACAUAUAUAAAACAAGUACACAUGUACCAAAAAGCAAGGUCUCCAAAUUCCUUAUCAAAAAUAAUAUUACAAGAAGAAGAAGAAGAAGCCAAAAGUAUUUAUAGCCAAAAGUAUUUUUGUUUGGUAGCAUAUCCACUCCUGAACUUGAAAUCUUUUACCUGUAUACAUUUAAAAAAAAAAUAAUAGAAGAAACAAAUUAUGUUUAGUUAAUAUACAUGCAAUGAAAGUUAAAUCUAAAUCUAUAAAUGGUCCAUGAAAGAAGUGCAAAUGAGAAUAACUUGGUAUUUAAUGAGAUGUUAUGCUUCAAUGAAGAUGAAAAAUUGUUUAAUUUGAUACUUGUUUAUAAAAUAUUAAAAUACUUUUUUAGUUCAUUAUUAAGUUAGAGGAAACAAGUUAGGCUUUCAAUGGUAUAAAUUCUACAAUAUGGAAUGUAAUAUAAUAUUUUCUUAUCUAUGUCUAACAUAUCAAACUCAUUUCUCAGAAAUAAAUAUAUGAAUAUACCAAUAGGUAUGGUUUAUAAUUAGUUUCAAUCAUAAAUCAUCAUAUCUAGUAAUAUAAGACAUUUAAUAUUAACCAUUUGCAAAUGCCUUAAUUUCUUCUUACAACUUUCCUAUAUUACCAAAUUUAGUUAACUAAUAACAUUCCAUAAGGAAAAAAAGAGUAUUAAACUAAAAAUUAAAAGAGCAUAACCAAGGCAAUAGAAACCUACAAAUCAUUGGUUAAAUGUCAUAAUAACAACCAUUCUAAAACUUGCCUUUAUUUUCAAUUCCAAAAUUAUAACCCAAAUAUAAUAAUUAACCCUACACAAAAAAAAGCUCUCUACCAUCCCUCCAUCCAACAACAACCUGUUGAUGCAACAACAAUAACUUCUCCAUACAACAAUAACAAUUUCUCCAUGUAACAACAACAACAACAACAAUAACAAUAACAAUAACAAUAACAUUGAUGAUCAAUGGUGAUAAUUAUAUUAGUAAUAAUUUGAUUUGUUUAGUCCAAACAUAUAACAAUAACAACUUCUCUAUGCAACAACAACAAUAAUAAUGACAACAUUGAUGAUCAUGAUAUAAUAAUUUGAUUUAUUGAGUUCACAAAUUAUAUGCUUCUUCUCCAUACAACAAUAACAAAAAUAACUUCUCCAUGUAACAACAUUGGUGAUGAUGUAAUAAUUUGAUUUGUUAUAUUGAAAUAGUUUAUGUAUAAAACUAUUAUAUUCUAUCACUAUGGAGGAAAAAAUUACUUAUCAUGAGAUGAGAACUUAUGAGAAUCGUCAAAAUGUGAUCUACAACUCUUACUGGACUGAAAUGAGGGCAUCUGCAUACAUAAGAUGGUAAAUUAAAAAAAUUAGUCCAUUCAAGACUUCAUUAAUAAUGAAAAUCAAGCAUUUUAGAUGUUAAUUUAUACCUUCAGGCAUGGGUAAGAAUCAAUUGAGUUGCCAACAUAACCCACUCAGAUCGUACUUCAUUAAGCUCAACUUCACUAUACGAUUUUUUCCCUUUAAACUAAUAAUUAAUUGUACAUACAUGAUGAUUAGUUAAGUUAACAAAAAAUUACUAAAGUAUAGAAACUAAUAAAAUUUAUUAAUGAGUAUAUACAUUUGUGGAUAGGAGGCUUGGAUCAACAAUUAUAUCUUUCAUGUAUCUCAUCACAUAAUAACCACACUCCACACUUCCUAGUUGUCCUGGGCACUAUAGGCACACAUAUGAAUUAUNNNNNNNNNNNNNNNNNNNNNNNNNNNNNNNNNNNNNNNNNNNNNNNNNNNNNNNNNNNNNNNNNNNNNNNNNNNNNNNNNNNNNNNNNNNNNNNNNNNNUAUCUUACUCUAACCAAAUUAACUUACCACUACUUUUACCCAUGUCGGCUCCCUCUUUGAUGAUCUUUGUUUCUCUGGUGGAUGAAUUCGUAGUGCCCUACAUGGAAAAGAAAAUUAACAUUUUAGAUACUAUGCACUAUAUUCAAGUAUGGAAAUGAAGACACUUACAUGUUAACAAUUUCCUUAAGAUCAUCACAUGGUUGCUUUUGCAUCGGAUCAAGGUAGUACGCAGUCAUUGUCCUCAUAUCCAAUGCCACCAAGACCCAGUGGAAACUAUAAUAGUACAUUAGAUAUUAUUUAGUAAUUAGCAUUGAUUAAGCUAUUUAACAUUAAAAAAAAACUUAAUAUUUUUCAUAACUUACUCAGGGUUAUAUGGAAUAAAAAUGUAGUCAGCACGCUUUGCAUGCAUUAAACGAUUUGCAAUCAACCUUGACCUAUUUUCCUUUGUUGUCUCACCCAUUCCAGCUUUAGAGACUAAAGCUGGAUUGAUAAAAGCAAAUCGUUCGGUGAGCCUUGCAUUACUUAGCUUUUUCUGUAGGUGCCUGUUUAAAUUCCACAUACCUUGAUAAGAAAUGACCAUUUUACUUUUAUAUAUAUAUAAAUUAACACACAUUAGCAAGUUAUAAAAUUAUUUACCAUAUAUAAUAUAUGACACAAUUAGCCGACACUUUCUUAAAUGAAAUUAUCAUAUCCAUGUCUUCUUUCAUAAGGAAGGUCUUAAAACUCUCGCCAAAUACAUCAUUUGGGACCUCCACACCUUGUGCUUUCCCCUCAUUUAGCAUGAGACCUACUAAUGCAUCAAAAUUGUUGAUAUCUUGAGGGUUUUCACCAAUUUUCAAGUCAUUUUCUGUUGUUUUUUGUCUUUUCCCUUUGUGAGAUCCCUAUAAAAGAAAGCACCAUGUUUUCAAAUGAUAUACAUAUCUUUAUAAACUAUUUCAAAUGAAAAUAACACACCUUAAUGAAUUUAGUACUCAAAUUGACUAAAUGGGUUGGCCAUAAAACUUGGUAGCCCACUACCGCUCCAAUUGUUGUAGCUUGUCCAGGAAUGGGAAUAGGAAGUGGUGUAUUUGACUUAUAGGGAGCAUCCAAAACAACUAGGUAGUUGGGCCCACAAUCCAUUACAAUUAUUCCACCAGCCACUGUAUUUUCUCUGGUCCCUACUGCUAACUCACAUUUUCUUGCCUUCAAAAGUAAAUUAAAUUGUUAAUUUCAAUAUAAAAAAGAAUCAAUAAAUGAAGUUUAAAGUGCAUUGACUAUGUUAGGGCUAUAUUUAAGACAUAAAGUUACAUAUUUUAUAAGUAAUAGUUGUAGUGGAAUAGAAUAUUACUAGUAGUAAUUAUGCUGUAAUAGAAUCUACCUAAAAUGUAAGUAUCAAUCUAACAAAAAUAAAAGCAAUUGGAAGAAAUUAUUUAUGAAAAUUAUCUAGGAAUUUGUGACAAUUACGUCAUUGAACUAGGAAAUGUAAACUAAAAAUAACACACCUUCAUGUGUGGUUCUAUUUUCACAGGUAAGGUCUCCUCUUCAACUUUACGAAUUGGUUUCUCCACUACUUCUGGUAGAAGCAACAGUUUUGAUUUCAUGUUGGAACUACUCACAUCGGAUUGUGGUGUAGCAACUCCUAUCUGAGAUAGUCUCGCUAACACAUCAGCCUCAAACUUAACUUGACGUUCUUGAGUUGCUUUUAAAAUAUCCCUCACAACACGUUCUGACAUACUAUUGAAAUAUCAUCCAGGCGUGUAGUGCUUCCCUUUAGCUCGAACCCAACCAGUAUACUCAGGAGUACCUAGUGCUUGAGAAAGUAUGUCAUUGCUCCCACUAUAGCUUAUGCCACUCUCUUGAGACUCUUUUAUCAAUUCAUCCUAAAACAAAAGGAAGUUAUGAAGUUAACUUUCAAAUAAGUAAAACCAAAUAAGGUGUUUAAAGAUGUGAUUUUUGGGUACAAAAUGUCUACUUACUAUUUUUUCCAUUACCGGUAGGACCACAUCAUCAUAGUUGCCAUCUUUUUUUUGCAUUGCCCUCUUCCAAAGUAAACUUCUAUCAAUGCUUUCUAUGGAGCCAGCUUCAAUCAUCUAAUAGAAAUGGAAAAUUAAAGAUAGUUAUUAGAUGACACAUGUGGUUUUAUUUCUAUUUUUUUGUCAGAAAAGAAACAAUUAAGAAACCCAUAUAAAAUAUUCCUUCAUUACUUAUACAAUCAUAUAAAAUUAAACCACAAUAAGAACUAACAAAAACUUACCAUCUCUUCUUCAAGUCCAGCAUACCCUUUUCUACUUAGAUGAUGAUUAUAUAUAUGCUUCUUUCUUCUCUGUUUUUGUACUUCCCUAUAUUCCUAAAAAUUAAAAUGGAUGCUUAGUAUAUAUAUGUGGAUGCAUGUAGUAUGUUUAAUGUUAAUUGUAUUUGUACCUGGAAUUUUUCAGACAACCUAGUUUUCACAAAAAUAUUCCAAUCUUCAUCAUCGAUAAAAUGAUAUUCAGCUGGUGGUUUCUUAAGAAGCUCUGGCUGAUCUUUGAAAGGAAGAAUAUGUUUCACAGUCAACGUGUUCUUAAAAGAUCGAAAACAUUUUCCCAAUGUAAGCAUACAAUUCCUUCUACUUUUCUUGUCUAAUGUAAAAGCAAUCUACAAAUUAUAAAGUCAUUAGUUUCUCAAAAUUUGAAAGAAAUAUAGAGAUUGUAGAAAACUUAUUUAUGUUAAAAAAAAAAGUAACCUCAAUAGAGUCCCACAACUUAUCCUUCAAUUGUUCAGGGACAUCUCGCCAUGUGUUAUAUCUGAUUGGUACCAUCGUACGUGCCAAUACACCUAAGUAGCUUGUUAGGUGCACAGAAGAUUCUCCUACAUAGAUACCAUCAACAUUGUACUUUAUGACCAACUUUAUCCCUCUAUUCCUAUUCCUUAUAAUCAUGGAUUUCCUUGUUGUCCCUCUAUAUUUUUUUUGUGAAGGGGUUUUCUCUUCCUUUGAAUCCAUGCCUAUAACACAUCAAUGAGAAAUGAUAAGUAUACCCAUUAAUUGCAAGUAAAAUUGAAUUUUUUAUAACAUGAACUCAUAUUAGUAACAUGAACAUACUAGGAACAUUUUACAUGCUAGAUAACAAUAUUCACAUGUUGUCAUGAAAUAUUUAAAAAUAAUAAUAAUAAAAACUUACUAGAAGAUCCUCACCAAACUUUUUUCUUAUGGAACUAGAAAUCAUAAGCUUUGAGCUGAGACAAAUUGAUAUCCUUGUAUUACCCUUUAGAUCACUCUGAGAUAUGUGUAUAAUAAUAAUCAUGAAAUAGGGAAUCAAUAAAUUUAGAGACAUGAUGAAUUUAAUCCACUUAGAAAAUAAAUAAGCUAUUUACUGAAAUGCAGAAUUUCAAUAUUAACAAGUUAAUGGGAUAGUUACAACCUUCAUAACAAAACAACAAGGUCAUAAAUUUAGUUACAUAGAAGAUUUGUUAUCAAUCCAGAAUCCCUCACAGUCUCCUCGAAUGCAAAUGACAUCAGAGUCAUCCAUUGUAUCAAAUGAUUCAACUUGUGCCAAGGUGGUAAUGAGAGGAUGGUGUUCAAUAGAAUUAUCCAUGAAGUCAUCAGAAUCCUUUGCUGAAAAUGAGAAGUCCCUUUCAGGAGUUGACAAAACAACUGACCAUCUUGGAUCAAGUUGGUUUUGUACAUAGAAUACUUGCUUGGCUUGGGAGGCUAAAAUAAAUGGAUCUGAUUUAUGAGCCAUCUUAGUGAAGUCAACUAAUGUCAGCCCAAACUCAUCAACUUUGAUGCCGCUCUUAUUAUCAACCCAAUUACAUUUGAAAACUGGAAUCCUAAACAUGGUAUAAUCAAGAUCCCAUAUCUCAGUAAUAAUACCAUAGAAACAUAGCUCACUAAAUACUGGAUUCUUAUCCUUGGCACUAGAAAUUUGCAUUGUUGUUGCUACAAUGCUAACUCCACUAUUCUGGGUAACUCGUAACUCAUCACGGUCUUUUGUGUUGUACUGACACCCAUUUAUAACAUAGCCAUGAUACUUGGCCACGUAGUGGGUAGGACCAUGUGCCAUCCAUCUUAAGGUUUCAGAUAUAGGUUCUUUGUCAGCAAUGACAACUUCUACCUGUUUGAAUGGACCAUAGUUAUUAAUAUUUUUUAUGAUAAGUGCUAAGAAUGGUGCAAUUUUUAGAAUAAAUUCAAUACCUUUUUUCGCAACCAAUGAGUGAAUGUUCGCAUGUGUUCUUCUUGUAGCCACUUUUGUCUCUUAGAUUGACGAGGAUUGUUCAAUUUCAACCAUUUCAUGUGUUCUCUAUAAGAUAUGUAUAAGAAAGUAACAAUAAGUUUCCAAAAUUAGUUUAAGUAAUCUACACAUAAAAUCAAAAUAGUUGACCCUUACUCGAUAUAAGGUUGGAUGAUAGUUGUAUUUUCCAACACAUAAUGAUGUGCUUGCAACAAAAAAUUACAAUCAACUUCGGUGAUAUGACCUCCAGGAAUAGGCGCCCCAACUUUAUGGUCAACAUUAGUGCUACUAGGAACUCCAAUUGCAUCCACAUUUGAUAAGUACUCUGUACAAAAUUCAAUAGCUUCCUCUGCAAUGUAGCAUUCAACAAUGCAACCUUCAGGGUGGUUACGGUUUCACACAUAACCCUUUAAUACUUUCAUGAACCUUUCAAAUGGGUACAUCCAUCUAAAAUAAACCGGUCCACAAAGUCUCACCUCUCUAACAAGAUGAACCGUUAAAUGAAUCAUGAUAUCAAAGAAGGAUGGCGGAAAGUACUUUUCAAGCAAGCGCAAUGUCACAACAAGUUCAUUUUGUAACUUAUCCAAUGUAGACACAUCAACCACCUUCUUACAUAAAGCAUUGAAAAAAAGGCUCAAUCUAGCAAUAGCAUGUCGUACAUGCUUUGGCAAAAGUGAUCGCAAUGCCACUGGUAACAAUUGUUGCAUCAGUGUAUGAUAAUCAUGAGACUUCAGGCCAUAAAGGUUCAAAUCUUCCAUUGACACAAGAUUUCUAAAGUUUGAGCAAUACCCUUCAGGAACCUUUAACUCAGCUAAAGUUUGACAAAAUACUUUCUUCUCCUUUCUAGACAAUGUAUAACAUGCAAGCGGAAGGUAAGUUCGAUUCGAUUCAAACCUUAGUGCCAGUUUACACCUUAAGCCCAUGUCCAUAAGGUCCAGACGAGAAUUGAGUCCAUCUUUUGUCUUCCCUGGGAUGUUAAGUAAUGUACCAAUGAUGCUUUCACAAAUAUUUUUCUCAAUGUGCAUUACAUCCAAAUUAUGACGAACAUGCAAAUAUCUCCAAUACUCAAGUUCAAAGAAUAUAGACUUUUUCUUCCAACAAUUGGUAUAAGUCACAUUGGAUUUUUCAUGUCUUCCCCUUUUUUUCCCCCAUGAAUUACAAAUGACAUUCAUUUUCAAUAGUAUUUCCUCUCCACUUAAUGGUUGUGGAGGUGAUCGAAACUCCUGCUCACCAUUGAAUGCCUUUCUAUGUUUUCUAAAAGGAUGAUUGCAUGGAAGAAAACGUCUGUGGCCUGUAAAUGAGUUCUUUCUCCCAUGCUUUAACCUAUGUGAAUAGGUUUCCGGUCCAUAUAUUGGACAAGCAAAAUAUCCUUUGACUAUGCAACCAGAUAAGUUUCCAUAUGCAGGAAAGUCAUUUAUUAUCCAUAAUAGAACAACCCUUAAUGUAAAGACCCCUCUUUGAUAUGCAUCAUAAGCUUCUACCCCUAUCUCCCACAAGGUUUUAAGGUCCUCAAUCAAUGGUGCUAAAUAGAUAUCUAUGUCAUUUCCAGGUUGUUGUGGACCCGAUAUUAACAAAGAUAACAUCAUAAAUUUUCUCUUCAUGUACAACCACGGUGGAAGGUUAUAAGUGAUCAUGACAACUAGCCAACAACUAUACCUGCUGCUCAAAGAACUAUGGGGAUUUAUGCCAUCUGCUGAAAUGACAAGUCUAAGGUUUCUAGGUUCUGCAGCAAAAUCAGGCCAUCUAUGGUCAAUUACCUUCCAUGACGGCGAGUCGGAUGGAUGACGCAUUUUUCCAUCAAAUUCUCCACCUUCUGCAUGCCAUAUGAGGUCUUUUGCAAUUUUUGAGGACCGAAACAUUCUUUUAAAUCGUGGGAUAGGUGGAAAAUACCACAUUACUUUAGCAGGAACUCCUUUACUCUUUUUGCUUCCUCUUCUAUUCACCUUCCACCUUGAAGCUCCACAUGUAGGACAUGAAGAUGCAUCUUUUAACUCAUUCCUAAAAAGUAUGCAAUCAUUGGGACAUGCAUGUAUUUUUUCAUAUUCCAUUUCCAAUGCAUUCAAUGUUUUUUUUGCUUCAUACAUAGACAAUGGCAACUCAUUGUUUACAGGCAACAUAUCACCAAGUAAGCUUAAUAGCUCGGAGAAGCUUUUAUCAGACCACCCAUAUCUUCUUUUCAGAUUGUAUAAUUUAACUAAAGUAGAUAAUUUGGUGAAGUUUUUGCAAUCGAGAUACAAAGGUUUUUCAGCAUCUUCAAGCAACCUUUCAAAUAAUUUUGGAUUAGCCUUACAAUCAUCUUAUGCAGCUUCAACCAUUUCUACUGUAUGAUCCACAUUACCAAUAUGAAUUCUAUCAAAACAUUCAACCCUUGUAGUUAGGGGUCCACUACUUAGAGCUGCCUCCCCAUGCCAAAACCAAGUAUGGUAACUUUGGUCAAUUCCAUAAAAGAAUAGGUGUUCUCUAAUCUUUUGAGGAGUAUUGAAGAUCAAAUUUCCACACUAUAGACAUGGGCAUUUGAUGGAGUUUUGAUUUGCAGAAUUUUGAACUGCAAAUGAAAUGAAAUUUUCAACCCCAUCCUCAUAGUCUUUUGAUCUUCUAUCUUUUGACAUCCAGGAACGAUUCAUUUGCCUAUAAUAGUUGAACACAAUUCCUAUAUAGCAAACAUAAGCAAACAAUGGAAAUGGAAAAGACUUAGAAAGUUACCUUUAGAAAACACUCAAAACUUUCAGUUUCUCAUUUGUGACAUCCAAAAUUUCUUUUAAACUUUCUAUGGACAAACAAUUAGGAUUCAAGUGCAAUAAAAAAUUUGAACCUCAUCCUUAAUAAAAAAAAUGAUUAACAAUAUGACAAUAGAACCUUUUGAUGCAUGUUUUUAUGCCUUUUAACAUGUCCAUCAUCCAAAAUCAGGUAGUUGUUCCUAUCCCAUGUAGGAAUACAUAAUCCCUAUGUGUUAAUUGCCAAUAUACUCAAUUUCAUUUUAAAGAAAUUUUGGCAGCAUUUCCCCAUAGUUCUCCAAGUACACAAAAUGAACAAGGUAUAAUAUGUGACCUUGUUCAAAUAUGCACCCAAAGAACAAGAGGAAAUACUACCAAAAUUUCUAAAAAGUGAAUUAAGCACAAGCAAUUAACUUCAUAGAUAUUAUGUUUUCCUACACUGUCCAAUCGGACAAUUCAAACAUCAUUGCAAAAAAAAUAUCUUUAUCACAUUCUAGACAAUUUAAAAGUUGUCAACUUGAAAGUGGCUUAGGUAAAACCUUUUUCACCUUUGACAACUUAAAUGUCUUUAGUAUGUAAUAAGAGAAACUUUUAUCUUACAAUGAUAGUUGAAUGGGAACUCUAAGGUUUCAUGCAUGCAUGUUUGAUUAAAAUUAAAACACAAUUACUUAUUGAAUAAUCUAAUAAUUAUAAAACACCUAAAGUUGUUCCAUAAUUAUUGCUAUAUUUCAUCAUUAAACAAGAUUAUUAUGAGAAAGCAUACGUAUGGCCCAUGAUUUGCGAAUCAAGUCACACCAGUCUAUGUCAUAGCCUUGGGUCAAAAUUUGGGCCUUGGUAUCAAACUAAGCUAGGGAAUAACUCGUACAAUUCAGGUACUCAAUAAGAUUUAAACAAAAUUUAAAAUAACGCUUCCAUUAUAUUCUUUUGACCACCCAAAGUAAAAAUGGUAUUAUGAUUAAAAUAUGUUGGUUUGUAUAAGGAAAAAUAGUGUACCUUCCUCACUCUGUCUUUGUCUCAAGUCUUGCAUCACACACCUCUCGUAGUCCAAUGUAGGUCACUGUCUCUUAAAAUAUGUAUAUGCAAAACAAAUAAUAAAUAAAGAUAUAAAAUAAAUCCAUUAGUAGAUAUUAACAAAUAAAUACAAAAUAAAUUAAAAUAAGAAAUAAACUAAGAAGAAAAAACAUAUAAGUAAGAAAAAAAAGAUUUUCACAUGUGCAACAAUGGUUAGAUAUUUUUAAAAAUUUAUAAAAUUAUUAAAAUCAAACUAUUUUAGUUAUUAUUUUUUUAAAAUGGUAAUUAAUACUCAUAUAAAAUAAAAUAUAUGCAUGAUGAGAAAGGUAAGAAGAUUAUUCCUUGUGCCCUUUUUCAUUUGAGAUUAUGACUUUUGGUGAUGACCUAAUGGUGGGUGAACCGUGAACCACACUAUCUGACCCGGGUCAAGUCCUUAGGGCAAGAAAGAUGACUGCAAGAUGGGUAGAACUUAAACGAAUGAGAUAGAAAAGUCUGGUCUAAAUUAAGGUGGCUUAACAAUCCGUAAUCAUCUUGGUUAGGUUGUAUCAUAUUGUGAAAGAGAAGUUACAGGCUAGGUCUUCAGCAUCCAGCAAUUCCACCCUUUGAUUUUUCCAACAUGUUGCACCAUCUAAUAAUAAUACCUAUGAUCCUAUACCUUAGUUUUGAUUCCUUAUGUAUACAAAGUAUAUAUGGUUACACUACAUUAAAGUUAUUUUUUUUCUCUAAAAAGUAAUUAGUGUAAAUUUUAAAAGUAGGCUAAUAUUCAUUUUUUUUUUCACUUCUUAUUUUUUGUUUUGAAAAUAGAAAAUAGUAACAACUCUUAUACAAAAUAUUUUACUAUUUUUUGUUUUUAAAAUAGAAAGUUAGAAAUUGCAUUUUAAAAGCAAUAUUCUAUUUCAAUCCACACAAAUGAUACAAGUUUUGAAAUAUUCCAUUACCAUAUUUUGAGUAAUAUUUUUAAAGGGUUAAUUUAAUUCAUUUCCCCUCAAGAUUUGACUAAAUAUAAUGGCACCCGAUAAUAUGAAAUUUGAAGAAGUCCAUAUACUCUUCAAGUCUAUAAUUAGAAGUUCCUAGUAAGUUGUCACCCAUACUAAUGAAAUUUCUUGAGUCAACAUUAAUCUCGAACCUUUUUGCUACCUUCAUUACCUAUUUUGCCCCUUUACCACCUACUUAGUCCUCUUUACUUUGACCAUGUGUGUUUCUCUUACUUGCCCCUCUACUUUUAUGAAAGAAGCAUAUAGAAGAAGCCCAUUCAAGUUUUUAAUUUUUCUUUGUUUGGAUCAUUCCUUGAAACCUUCUAAAAUUUCCCUUGUACUUAGCCUCAACAUUACAGGUCCAAUAAAACUCUUAUAAAUAAAAUUAAAAGUGUAAUAAAUAUUAUAAAAUUAUUUUAUUAAAAAAAUUAAUAUAUAUAUAUAUAUUGUAAUUAUUAAAUUAUAUAAAAUCUUAUUCAAUAAUAAUAUUGUGAUAUUUAAUUAUAAUAUGUUUAAUUUUAAAAUAUAUUUAAUAUUAAAAUUAUGAUAUAUUUAAUUAAUAUAUUAGUGAUAUUAAAAACUUUUUACAAUUUAAUUAAAUAAAAAAAUUAUUUACAUAUAAAAUAAUUAUAAUUAAUUUGUUGUUUAAAGGAUUAUUUUAAUAUUUUGUGUAUAUAAAAACUUUUAAUAUAUAUAUAUAUAUAUAUAUAUAUAUAUAUAUAUAUAUAUAUAUAUAAUCAUAAGGGUUUUGAUUUCAACAAGGUAUAUUUUAUUAAGUAAAGAAAGAAGGGCAGCUUCCUUGAACUUUCAAUCCCAACUUGCAGAUUUUACACCUUCGGCAUCACAGGUAUAUUGAGGAGGACAAGGAAAAGUGCCAUCAACGUAUCCUAAGAGGUCGUUGCUAAUUAAAACAGGGAGGAAUUUAUCUUUCCAGAGAAGAUAGUUGGUGGAAUCAAGUUUGAUUGGUAAUAUUCGGUGCAGCAAGUAGAGUGGAAGAAGGCAGUGAAUUCGAAAUAAAAACUGAUAAGAAUGUGACAAAGAAGAAGGAAGAACAAAAGGAUAUGAUGGUGUAGAAAAAUAAGAAGAAGAAAAGAAUAGGGUGAAGGAAUUUAUUUGAGGAGAAUAGGAGAUGACAAAGUUGAUACCUGAGUCAAGAAGGGAGGAAGAGCAGUGGUGGAGAUGACAGAUGGAGGUCCGGCAAGAGUGCUAGGAGGCAAGGACUUAAAAACCUGGGUCAACGACGAUGCCGCUAAGGACGAAACUUGGCUGGGAAUAUCAAUAUGUGCAGCAGACAACAGAAUAGAUGAUGUUUCAAUGGAUGAGGAAAUUUCAGCAGUGGAAGAUGGUGUCGCAGCCAUGGCAGAGGAGAUUAAGAGAGGAUGCAGCAGGAAAGAAAUUGCUAGAACAAUGACAGCGGCAGGUUUAGAAUCCUUUCAACACACCAAAUUUAGAGUCAGACUUGACAGCCUUUCAAAGACGCGGAGGCAUAGAAUAUUCUUGAUUAAAAUAUGUGAGAUCAUAAGCACCAAGGAAAUCAACGACCCCACCACAGCUAUUGCCACUCUCCGCCUCUUCUUCCACGACUGCAUGGUCGAAGGCUACGACACCUCAGUCCUCAUCUUCUCCAACUCCUUCAACACCGCCCAGCACGACGCCGACAUCAACCUCUCCCUCCCAGGCAAUACUGUAUCAAUACAUCCAGAUUGUACGAGUCUUGCCUCUCUAGUCAUCAGUCAUCAUUCAUGACUUUGUAGGAGGGAUGAGGUAGACCAAACAAAGCCUUCGGAUGGGCUCAAAUCUAGCCACAUCCAAGUUCCAAAUUCCUAUCCCCUAAAGUAAAAUUUAAAUUAUUAUUAUUAUUUACAUUCUGUAGAAGUUUCUUCUUUAAAUGAAUUUUAUUUUUGAGAAAACUUGCUAUGGAAAGUCUGCAUCUUGAUUUCAACCGAGACAAACCCAUAUCUUUUGGACCUGGUGCCUCUCCCAAUCCUUGACUGCCCAACAACUAAAAUUCAAACCCAAGCCCACCAAAGAAAAUUUUAAAACACGUCAUGCCUUUGCCAGUUGUUCCCCUCUCAAUACCAUUUAAAAAUCCCCCAUUCUGUAGCUUUCUCAACUGCUGCAGUCGAACCUGUCUUCUCCUUGGUGUACGAACACGACACGUCCAUACCUACAGGCGGUAGAGGCUACACCUCCUUUCCCACGCCCUUGUGCUGGUGCGUGAGCCACCCACCACAUUACCCUCAAGCUCCAUCCCGAUCACCAUGCUGGCUACUACAUCUCCAUGGCAUUACACUAGGCAAAAACAAGGCGACACUUCCCACCACAACUAAAAGGAGAAGCUGAAAUUAUACCUAUUACAACUUGCAGCGUACCAUACAACAACAAGAACAAAAAAUGCACUGUAUUUAUUUGGGAUACCAUUACCCUGAUUUUCUCCUCCCAAAAUAAUUUCCCCAUCUAUGAAACAAUAAUAUUAGAUUUUUGGAACAAUGAAAACCCUUCCAUUUGUCUUCAUUUGUACUAAUCUAUUCAAGUUUGAGGAAAACAACAUUACUUGAGAAAGAGAUUUACCUGUAACUAUGAUGCUCUGUAGUAGAUUUUGACAAUGGUAACCUCCCAUGCAUGGAAGUUAGACAUGGCCAUUCCAACGGAUUAGGGCAUUUUAGUGGUGGACUUAGUGAGAGCUAUAGGGUUUCGGGGUUUCUUCAGUUCUGAAAUUGUGGAGGGAAUGUCUGGCGGGUACUUGUAGAAAGGGAAAAACAUUUAAUUAAUAUAUAUAUAUAUAUACUAUUAUUUAAUGUCACCUAAUAUAAGUGCCAUGAAAUAUCACAACUAUGACACUGCUAUAAAGUGUCAUGGAAUAACCAGUUAUUCUUAUAAGUGCCACAACAAGCAAUGAUACUUUAAAUAAGCGCCAUGAAAUAAAAAAGCUAAUAUAAAAAAUGACCCUUUUGAAAAAACGCCAUUGUAUAUCCAAAUAUAAUGAUACUUUAUGAAAGCGCCAAUGAUUAAAGCGUCAUAAUUUUCUAUUUUUGUAGUAGUGGUUAGACAUUGGAAAAUAUUGUAUAUAUAAAUAUAUUAUUAUAAUAAUAAAAAUGAGAAGAAACAUGAGGAUUACUAUUUUAGUCUUAGGACUUUUGUGUGUAAUGAAGAUAGGAGGGUAAUGAGUUGGUUAUGCAUUGAAUUUGAAAAUUAAUAAAAAUAAUAAUAUUUAGUUUUAAGCUAACAAAGGAAAUAUUAGCAAUAAUAACAGUUUAGUGCAAUAAAUACAAAAACAAUAUAUUUUUGAGAAAUGUAGUUUAAAAAUAAUAACAAUAAAUUAAUGGAAUUUGGAGGAUAAAUUUUGGAAAGAACCCAAUUUUUAGAAGAAUUUAAAAAAUCACAUGUUAAAUUAUUAUUGAUUAAGAAGUUAAAAAUAAUAGGUGACAUAAUAUAGAAAAUUUCAAUCCCAUCCUACUUAUUUAAAAUAAUUAUCAUCCUCGUGCUAGUAAAAGAGAAAAGAAAAAUAGAGUGGGGUGGGUAUAUGAAUUUACCAUAUUAGUCUCACCUCACCCUGAUUAAAGUCUUCUUUUCUAAAUUAAAUUUUAAAAAAUUUAAUUAAAUAAAUGUAUUUUAUAAAUAAUUAAAAUAUUAUAAUUUUUAUAACUUAUUUUAUUGCAAAGUAAUUAUUUUUAUUAUUUUAUAUGUAUUAAAAAUGGGGAAAUAAAAAAUUUAAAUUAAAUUAUUUUUUGAAAUUCAUUUUAUAUAUAAUUAGGGUGAGAUGGGAUGAGACAAGGCAAAAUCUGAAACUAUCCUGCAUUUAAAAAAAAAAAAAGAAAAUCUCAAACUUGCCUCACGUUUAAAAAGAAAAAAAAUCUCAAACUUGCUCAUAACUUAUUUAUUUUAAUUCCAAACCAAUAAGGUGGGACGAGGGCCUGUAGCCAUAGAAGACUUGUAGGGAUUUUACCCGAAAAAUCUCACUCUAUUGUUAUCGUACUCCUAUCCAAGUUGAUAGUCAACUUGUAUACCUUGUUUUUUUUUUUUUUCAAUAUUCAAAUAAAUCACAAUUUAAUUUUAAUGGUCUUUAAACUAAAAGUUCAAUUAAAUGAAUUUUUUCGUGUCAUUAGCUUUCACAACCUCGUAAGUGCUAAUAAUAUUCAAUUUCAAAUAAUCAUCAAAGUCUAUACAACCAUUUCUAAAUCAAAUGUUCUCAUAGUUUAUUUUCAACCAAUCAAAGUAUAAUUAAAUUACAUAUAUCCAAAUUCCCCAAAUAAAUACACAUCUAAUUUCCCCGUUGCUUGGUAGGAGGCCUUACACCCAACAGGGUUAACAAGUAAUAAUCAAAGACUAAAAAUACAUGAAAUAUUGUAAAAUUAUAAAGUGACAUGAGAAGAAAACAAGAAAGAGAAAUCAGAAUGUAGGAAGAGAAUAGAAUUUCAUUAGAGGUAUUUCCCUUUUAUAGGGAGUCACAAAGAGAUAUACAUCAAUAUGGAUGAUCAUCCACAAGUUCCCAUAAUCCGAUAAAUUCUCAUAUUUUAUAACACUCCCCUUUGGAUGAUCAUAAGAAUAUGCCUCAUUAAAACCUUACUAGGAAAAACCCCAUGGGAAAAAACUUUAGUGAAGGAAAAAUAGUACACUAUUCUUUUGGAUUACUAUAACUACCUCGUUAAAAACCUUGCCAGUAAAACCCAUUGGGACAAAACCUGGAUGAAGGAAAAAAAAGUGCAGUAUAUCCAUAUUAUCAUUCUCCCCCUCAUGUAAACAUGAUUAUGAUUUCUUCAACAUUUCAAAUGGUAGAUCUCUCAAUCUUCAUAUUCCAAAGUCAUACCUUAACUUUUUCAAUGUGGUCAAAGGUAACACCUUUGUGAAUAGAUAUGUUAGAUUAUUUCAUGUAUUCAAAUAAAAUAAAUUUUCCUUCACUAAGGUUUUUUCCCAUGGAGUUUUUCUUAGUAAGGUUUUAAUGAAGUAUAUUUUUAAGAUCAUCUAAGGGGGAGUGUUAUAAAAUAUGAGAAUUUAUCAGAUUAUGGGAACUUGUGGAUGAUAAUUCAUAUUGAUGUACAUCUUUUUACGAAUCCCUAUAAAAGGGAGAUACCUCUAAUGAAAUUCUAUUCUCUUCCUACAUUCUGAUUUUUUUUUCUUAUUUUCUUCUCCUUUCACUUUAUAAUUUUAUAACAUGUUAUCAGCACGACUAGUCUCUACAAAAGAAAUAGAAAUAUUUUUCUCUAUUCAGAAAAAUAACAAGAUAUUCUUUAUUCUUUCUCACAAAAAGGUAUGUGAUAAACUUAUAUCAUGAUUUUCUAUUUUAUUACCUUUGAUCUCUAUUUUCAUUUAUUUUAUUUGAAUAUAUAAAUAUAUAUAAUCUCAAUAACCGGAAGUUAUGGGGUAAAUUCAUAACCAGAAGUUAUAAAAAUUAUGUGCAAUUCCUAUAACCAGAAGUUAUGAGGAAAAAUUAGAAAAUUACAUAUACAUAACCAGAAGUUAUGUAUAUGAUCUCUAAUUAUUUAUUUUUAAUUAUACGGUAUAACUGAAUGUUAUACCAAACAAUAUUAUAUAGCUAGAAGGUAUAAAAUAAAUAAAUAAAUAAAUGUUCAUAGCCUGAUUAUUUUGUCAGAAUAAGAAAAUAUUUAAAUUUGUACAUAACUUAGGCCAUGAUUAUUUUGUCAGAACAAGAAAAUAUUUAAAUUUGUACAUAACUUAGGUCAUGAACUGUUUUUUAUAUAAAUUUAUAUAUAUCUUCAGGCUAUGAACUAUUUAUUGUGUAGAUUUGUGCAUAACUUCGGGCUAUGAACUUUCAUUAUGUAGAUUUGUACAUAACUUCAAGCUAUGAACAUUUAUGUAUUUAUUUACUUUAUAGCUUCUGGCUAUAAUAUUGUUUGGUAUGACAUCCAGUUAUACCGUAUAAUUAAAAAUAAAUAAUUAGAGAUUAUAUACAUAACUUCUGAUCAUGUAUUUGUAAUUCUGUAAUUUUUCUUCAUAACUUCUGGUUAUAGGAAUUGCACAUAUUUUUCAUAACUUCUGGUUAUAAAUUUACCCCAUAAUUUAUAAUUUACCCCAUAACUUCUGGUUAUAGAGAUUAUACAUAUUUAUGUAUUCAAAUAAAAUAAAUGAAAAUAGAGAUCAAAAGGUAAUAAAAUAGAAAAUCAUGAUAUAAGUUUAUCACAUACCUUUUUGUGAGAAAGAAGAGAGAAGAUCUUUCUAUUUUUUUGAAUAGAGAAAAAUCUUUCUAUUUCUUUUGUAGAGACUAGUUGUGUUGAUAACGUGUUGUAAACUUAUAAAGUGAAAGGAGAAGAAAAUAAGAAAGAGAAAUCAAAAUGUAGGAAGAGAAUAAAAUUUCAUUAGAGGUAUAGGGAGUCACAAAGAGAUAUACAUUGAUCAUUCACAAGUUUCCAUAAUCCGAUAAAUUCUCAUAUUUUAUAACAUGAAAAUAUUAAUAAGAUAUUUUAUUUUAUCCCGAAUAUGUAUAUAUAUAUAUAUAUAUAUCUUGGUAAUUAAUAAAAAAAUACAAAUGGACGUGAAUACACCCAAUCAUACGAUUCACUAUUCUUCUUGGGGUUUCACCUAAUGAUAUGUGUAUGUAAUCAAGUAUACUCUCCAUUUAGAUUUUUCUCGGGUCUAUUGUUAUGUCUUUUAUACUUGUGAUCACGCUCUUUUCUUAAUUUAUCCUCUUAUGUGACAUUUCUUUUUUGUCUCUCAUUUUUUUUUUUCCAUUUUACACCACCUUUCCUCAUUAUAUAUAUAUAUUCACACAAUUAUGAUGCAAAUAUAAUAUAUAAUAUGAAACUAUUAUUUUUAGAACAUAUUUUUAUCUUUUAAAUUGACUCCAAAAUUUAAAAAUUCAAUACACAUUUUUUUUUUAAUUCUCAUGAAUUAAUGAUCAUUUCAUUUUCCUCUAGCACUAUUUUAUCAACAUCAAUAAAAAUAUAAUUUAAAUAACACUCAUAUACCAAAUCACCCGUGGAUAUUACAAGUAUUAACAUAUUUAUUUCAUGGCAUAAUAUUUAUAACUUUUUUCUUAAAAAUAUAUUAAAUAAAUUUUUUUGGGAUACAUCGCCCUACCAAAAACUGCGAACCUAAUCGUUAUUUUUGAAAUUGAGCUUUGUAGCCAUAUUCCCCAAAUAAAAGGUGGUUUGUUUCAACGAAUUUCUGUUUUUAUUUUCAAAGAAAACAAAAGGUAGGUUUUAAAUAUGUUUAGACAAUGUUUUACCGGUUUUUGUUUUCUAGAAAUCUAAAUUCAGAAAAUGGAAAAAAAAAAAAUGAAAACAUCAAUUUGUUAUUUUCAAAAUUUUAUUAAGAAAGGUGAAAACAAUUUUAAAAAAUAUUCAAAACAAAGAAAAUAAAAAUAAAAAAGACCUUAUGGGAUUGAUCAUAAUAUAAAAAAAUAAAUACAAAUAUUGUAUAUAUAAAAAAUAUUAAUAUAAAUAAAACAUGAAAUAAUAAGUAAUGUAUAAAUAUUUGGUUUAUUUUUUGGAUUAGAGAUUAUUUAUAAGUUGAUAUAUUUUUUGAAUAUAAACUAAUUCAUUUUAAUUGAUUAGUCAGAAGAUUAUUAGAAUAUUUUAUUACAUUAUUUUAAAACAAAAAUAAUAUAGUAAAGAAAAUAAAAAAGAAUAAUGAACAAAUACAAGGAAAGCGUGACUUUAUAGUAUAUAUGUUAUAACACAUAACAUAAAAAAUAAUCAUAAUUAUAUAAAAUUUUAAUUAUAUUUAAUUUCACAAUUUUUAAUAAAAACUUAAAAUCAAAAUUUUUUUUUGCAAAUUUUAUUUUUUAAAAGCAGAUUUCAUUUUUCUUAAACAAAAUGUAUUUUUUAAGAAAAUAAAAAAUAGAAAGUGAAAAUUGUUUUGAAAAAAUAAAAAUUAGAAAAGCGUUUUUCAAAUUAAAUACAAUCAAUUAAUUUCUUUUCUUUUCUUUUUUGUGAAUGUAGAUACAUUAUUGAGUCAUUAAAUCUUGUGUUAAAGUGUAGUUUUUUUUUUUCAUUUAUUUUAUUUUCUUGUUUAUUAUUGACUUGCUUCCGGAUAACAUCGAGAGUUGCAAAUACAUCUUAUGAUUGAGUACAAAUAUUAGGUCUUGUCAUUUUCUCAAGUAGGAAAAGAUACGGGUGUUUCGAUGAAUUGAAUUAAUAGUGUUAGGACAUUUGCUUUGUUUUUUUGGUUGAUAAUUUUGUUUCUUUUCAUUAUGAUAUAUGAUUUUUUUAAAUAGUGACAUUUGUAGAUGAUGACUUACUCUUUACUGAAGAUUUGAGACUGUCGUUUAAUUAAUCGGAUGGUUAUAUGUAAAUUUGAAAAGAUUUAAGUAAAGACAAUUUUUUUAUAAGUUAGAGUUAGAUGGAAAGUUUUAAAAUUAAGUUAAAAUAUUUUAAUUAAUUUUUAAAAAGUUGAGAUUUUAAUUUUUUUUAAAAAUCGGAUGUUAUCAUUAGGAAAAUGUCAUAACUUAUCCUACCAUUUUUGAAAGCUUUAAAAGGUUUUUUUUUUAUAAAUAAUUAUGGCUUGUUGAAGGGACCUACAUCAUCUCAGAGAUUGAGAUGAAUUCAGUAGAGUACUCGAGGUAUUGUGUCCCGAGGAUGUAGGUGGAAAGUAAGUGCAAGGUAAAACCAAUUUUUAUUUUUAUUUUUUUUUGUUAAAAACUCUUAAGACGAUGAUGAUGUUAUACAUAUGCAUAUUCAAUAGAUUCUGCAUCAUGAGCUCAAGCUGCUAGAUGCUAUGAAUAGGUCAGGACUGUGGAUGACAUGUGUUUGACACGUGGAAAUGAAGAGUGAGGAUGAGCAUCCAAUUAUUUUUAUCUUUAAUUCCCAUGUUUGAAUAAUUUAAAUUAUGAUGGGAAUGAAUCAAAAAGUGAUUCAAAUGGAAAUAAAAUCUUACUUAUAAGUAGGAUUUCAAUUCUCUCCAACUAGAGGUAUUUUGAUUUCUUAAUGUAAGUUAUUUUUAAAAAUACUUUUUAAAAAUUUAAAAACUAAACAUUUAAUUUUUUUGAAUAUGUUGUUUUUGAAAAGAAAUUUUUAGUUUUAUUUUGUAAAAAAAAAUAUUUUAAAUUAAGAUAAUAUAAUGUAAACUAAAUUUAAUUCAUGUCUUAUUAAAAAAUAAAAAUAAAAAUAAAUUAAAAAAUAAAUAGUUUUUAAUAAAUAUGAAUAUUAAUAAAAUAAUAAAAUCAGAAAUGGUAUAUAUUUUUUAUAAAUAUUAUAAAUAUAUAGAUAUUAACAUUAAUUGAUUUAUUUUGUUAAAAAUAAAGAAUAGUUAUUCNCNAAUUAAUAAUUUCUAAUACUAUCUAUUUUAAAUUAAUAUAAAAAAAUAAAAUUUAAUUUUUUAAGGUAUAAAUGAGCCAAAUUUUUUAUUAUAUGCAUAUAUUUAUAACCCAAUUGUGAAGAUGACAUUCUAAAUUAUUUUAUUUAUCUAUAAUUAAUUAAUCAAUUUUUUAAAAUUCAAAUUAUUCUUAAAAUUACAAGAUUUAUUAAAGAAUUUAUAGUAUUAAUUAUGUCUAUUAUUUUUAUAGUCAUUAUAUAUAUAUUUUUGAGUUUUAAAUAAUUUUUGAAAUUAUAAAACUUAUUAAUAAAUUCAAUACAAAUUCGAUUUGAAAUUCAUAUUUUCUACUAAAAAAAUCGAAAGAAUAAUUCUCUAUUUUAUUUUAUUUUUAAAAAUUGUUUUUAAAAAAUAACAAUCAAAUAGUGAUAUAAAUUUUUUAAAAACAAUUUUUUUUUUUAAAUCAUGCACCCAAAUAAGUUUUUAUUAUUUAGAAAAAAAAAACAAAUUCCUAAGGAUUUUUUCAAAUGAAAAUAAAAAAUUACUUCAAACAACGUAGAAUGUGAGAUUUUUUUUAUAAAUAAAAAUAAAAAUAAAGAAUUAUUUUAAAUCAGAUAUACAAAUAUUAUUAAUAAUUCUUUUUUUUUUUUUCAUUUUCAUUCCUAUUUUUAUUUAACAUUGAAAUAUAAUCAAAUUAUCAUUCCAAUCUUAUAUUCUUAUAUGCAUGCAAACAUAAAAAUUAAAAUUACCAAAUUCAUUCCUAUCAAUAGGGAAUAGUAGUAAAACAAAAUAUUCAUUUCCAUUCCCAUUCUUCGUUAUGCGUACCAAACAUGUCCUUAUCUUACAUAGAAUCUGGCCAACAUUAUAGGGCAUGUGGGGAUCGGGCAGAUGUUAAUUUGUUGGCCUGAAAUUGGAAAUCAUCAUCUUUAUGUCACUAAGAAGUAACUUAAUGAACCUAGCUCAAAUCCAUGCUAUGUUCAGUACAAGACAGUGAUGGUGCUAAAGACGAUAACCUAAUACGUGGGUCCCUUUUGCCUAUCAGGAAAAACAUAACACAUGCGUGCUUCCUGCGACUUCUUUCAUGAAAACUUUUCAGUCUAUUAUCCUUCGCAGUGCCAUUGAGAAACAAGUAUCUCCACAAAUUGGUUCCUCUGAUUUAAUUUGUCCAUUACAGAUAAUGGCUGUUCAAGUUAGCCUAUUUGCCACGUCCCUGGGAUUUCUGUCUUAAUCAUAUAAGACAAUAUAUUGAAUGGGAAAGCGAAGCUACGUGAACUUCCCAACUACGUAUGCAGCCUCUUGCACUCACACUCACUCACACGAAAGUCUAUAAAUACCGAGUUCGUAUUGCCCUUGCAAUCCAUCCAGCAGAGAAACAUCUUUGAGAGUUUCCUUUAUCAGUAGAGUCUUUCACCUCCUUUGCUUUUGUGUAGGAAAGAUGGCUUACUCCAGGACUUUCCUUCUCCUUGGCCUUCUCUUUGCUGUUGUUCUCAUCCUGUCCUCUGAGGUUUCAGGUCGGGAGCUAGCUGAAACAGCCGAAACUCGUAAGUUAAAUUUCUUUCAACUACUUUUUCAGUAGAAAUAAUGGCAAGUUAUAUUAUAUGUUCAUAUACAUAGGGAUAAUUUUGUUUUCUUAAAUUAUGGCAGAAGUGAUCAGCGUGGAAGAUGAGAAGCACGAUGGGUAUGGACACGGACACGGGCACGGCCACGGCCACGGAAAAGGACAUGGGCAUGGGAAACCUGGUCAUGGUGGCGCCGGUGAGGAUGUGGAAGACGAGACUGAGGGGGCUCAGAAUUAGAGUAAUCAAUCCUUAAUUAUGUGGGCCACGCAUGAUUAGGGUGGGUUUUAUGUAAGAUUAUGAAAGCGUAUAUGUCAAUAAGGCAUGUGGGCUAAGGGGUACUCCCUUAGACCAGCAUUGCUGCAGUUGUUAAAUAUGUAGGUCGGGACUUGUAUCUUUUAUUUCUCUAUGUUUUUUAUGUGCUAAAUAAAGUAUGAUGAAUGUUGUCUGGGGGUCCUACCCUUUUUACGUUGCAUUAUUUACUUGGAAUUGCCCGGAAUUUGGAUUUGAAAGGGAUUUUUUUUUUUUUUUUUUACUAUGGUAGCAUGCCCUUCAAUUCUCAUCGAUGGCUUUUACAUUUGCACCAAUAUAAUAUUAGUAAUUUCAACUUUGAACAUCAGUACUGUUUAUUUAUUUCAUUUUUUAAGGAUUUUUUUUAUUUUUUUAUUUAAUUUAAAUCUCCUUGAUUCCACUCCAAUAAAUGGUGCAACUUCAUGACCAAUAUGAACCCACCCCUUUUCACCCUGUUCUUCCAAAUAUAAUGCUUGAAAGUGAGUACUCCCAUGGAAUAAAUUGGUUUCCAAAAUCUCCAUUUAUUGAAAAAAACCACACACCCGAAUUUUCAUUUGGAAACUACCUCUCUCAUGCACCUUUGAAUUCAAUAAUCUUCUAACGUACUUUAAAAUAAAUAUAGCUACUAUCAAUAUUUUUAAAAUCAGAUCCAUCAUUGAAUUGAAAAAGUUAUCGAUCCAUGAUUCACUAAUCGAAUCGAUGGUUGAACCGUAGUCAAACCAAUGAUGUUAUAAAUAUAUAAUUUAUAUUUAUAUAUAAUUAAAAAUAAUUAUAAAAAAUAAACAAAUGUAUAUAAUUAAAAAAUUUAACAAUAUUUUAUUUUUUAUAUGAAUUAAACUAAAAAAAUUCUAUACUUGCAUAUGUAAUAUUAAUAGAUUAAAUCAUGAUAUAUAUGCUAAUAUUUCUAAAUUUACUAUUAUAUGUAUGUAGUAUUUAUGAUUUAAUAUUAAGAAGAUAUAUAUAUCCUAAGAUGAAAUCAAAUUUUAUAUGUCAUUUUAUCAUUUAAAAAUUAUUAAGCUUAUUUUACUAUAUGAAUAUUUUUAUUUAUUUCAAAAUUUUAUUUAUUUAUUAAAAAAAUAAUAUGCAAAUAUAUUUAACAACUGACUUGGGUUAAAAACACAAUUAGGUAAGUGGUCGCUGGUUUCAUUUUAUAUGCCCAGCUCGAAUUUUAAGUGGCUGACGUAGGAGUCUUGGGAAUGAAACAGAGCUGCAAAAUGAUGAAGGUGGGUUGCAUGGACCCAAAUCUUGAGAUAAAGUUGGAAAAAUGAUGGGUUUAUAGAAAAGGAAAAGAUCGUUCAGUUCUCAAAAACCGGUCGGUCCACUGGUUUGGAUGGUGCAUCUGUCGGUUCAUGUGAUUUGAUCCCGAUCCAAUGCUUCUAACGGUUUAACCGUUUAAUCAGAUUGGAACCAUGAUUGAUCGACGAUCUAAUUGGUUAAAUCGACGGACACAAUCUGAUUUUCAAAACCAUGGUUAUUACGAUAAAAACAUAAACAUUCCUCGUUUUAUUGUAAUAUUUGUUAGUAGAUUAAGGUAUUUAAAUUAAGUUGAUAAUUUUGUUUCCUAAUCUUGAUUUAGAAUUCUAUGUAUUUUUUAUUUUUUAUUUUUAUGAUUUACACUUCUAUUAAGUAAGGUUAUAAGAUUCAGGAAUAAAAUCAAUUUCGAAAGAAUUUCAAAUGGAAAGUCUUUUUAAACUUAAAAUAUGAUAUCUUUUUAAAUAUUUCUAAAAUUUAAAUAUUAAUUGUAUUCUUUUUAGUAAAAUAUGAUUUCUAAAUCGAUUAAAAGUUUACUAGAAUAUAUAUAUAUAUAUAUGCCUACUAGAAGAGUUCUCUUCCAAGAAUUCAUGUACCUAAAUUUUAUCUUAAAUUUUAAGACUGUUUGUCUUUUUCUUGAGUUGGAAGACUUUGAAUACAUUUGACAAUAAUUUUUAAAAGUAUUUAUAGUGUUUCUAAUAUUUGAAAAAUAAAAAUUUUAAAGACCAAAAACACUUUUCCAAAUUAUUGCAAAAUGCAUUCUUUGUGGCACUCUCAAUUGAGGAUGUUCUUUUUUGGAUCGACUUGUUGACGUGAGGACUGAGGAGGGACGUAUACAUGCACUGUAUAAGACAUGGUUGGCUAAUUCCAAUUUCCAACUACGUUAUUAAAGUGAGUGAUUUUGGAACCUUAAAAUGAUACGACAGACAUAGUAUAGCAUUUUUUGUUAGAAGGAUCGAAAUCCAUACAUUCUAUGACUUGUGAAAUAUGUUGGAGAGGGCUACCUAUUAAUAUUACUGCUAAUAUAUAGUGUAUAUAUGGUCCCCACCAGUACUUCAAUUCUCUGAAAAAAUGAAAUCUAGCAAAACCACGUGAGGAAAAGCUUUCUCACUGUAGAACUUAUCCAAACUUUUUCUUUGUUGCUAUAUUUGGUUUUUAUCCUCCAUCAACAAGUUAUUAGCAAUCAACCAUUGGCUAAGUGGGAAAUUUACUAGGUUAAAAAAUCACUGCUACAAAAAAUACAUUCAAUGACGGUCAUUUCCUUGGCGCUGGUAAGAAACGUCAAGUUACGGGGAUUUUUGAUAAUUUAAAAUUAAUUUUUUAAAAUACAGUAUAAUAAAAACUAUUUUCAAAUCUAUGAUACUUUUUUGUCACUUUUAAAAGUGUAUUUUAAAAAGACACUUUACAUCAUUUUUAUAUAAAUGAUAUACGUUUAAAACAAUUGAAUUUACAUUGAAGGUGUCUCUGGAAGAGACAAGAGACACCUUCCAUAAUUUUUAUAUCAAUAACACAUGUUAAAAAUUUUGAAUUUACAUUAAAAGUGUCUCUUCAAGAGACACCUUUUAUAAUUUUACAAAAUCAAAUUUAUAUUAAAAGUGUCUUUUAAAUAGAUAUUUUCACAGUUUUCAUAUCAGUUGCAUAAUAAAAAAUUGAAUUUAUACUAAAAAUGUAUUCUUAAGAUAUAAUUUUUUACAAUUUUACAAAAUUAAAUUUAUAUUAAAAGUGUAUCUUGAAUAGACACCUUCAAUAAUUCUUGCAUCAGUCAUCUAUUGANNNNNNNNNNNNNNNNNNNNNNNNNNNNNNNNNNNNNNNNNNNNNNNNNNNNNNNNNNNNNNNNNNNNNNNNNNNNNNNNNNNNNNNNNNUUGCAUCAGUCAUCUAUUGAAAUAAUGAAUUUAUACUAAAAGUGCAUUUUAAAAAACACAUUCCAUAAUUUCAUAAAAUUAAAUUUAUAUUGAAAGAUUAUUCGUUCAAGAGACACUUUUAGUAUAAAUUUAAUUUUUUUGAUAGGUGAUUAAUAUAAAAAUUGUGGAAAUUAUUUCUUCAAAAGACACAUUUAGUAUAAAUUUAAUUUUGUGGAAUUGAAUAGAUUCCUUCAAUGUAAAUUCAAUUUUUUUCACUGUGUAACUGAUAUGAAAAUUAUCAAAGAUGUCUCUUCUAGAGACACCUUUAGUAUUAAUUUGAUUUUAUGGUAUUGUGGAAAUGAUAUUUCUUUAAUAUAAAUUCAAUUUUUUUUAACGUGUAUGACUAAUAAAAAAAUUAUGAAAAAAUAUCUUUUGAAGAAACACCUUUAACAUAUAUUUAAUUUUAUGGAAUUAUAAAGUAUGUCUCUUCAAGAGACACCUUUAGUGUAAUUCAUUUUUUUUGGGGAGAAUUAUGUUUUGGGGGUAGAUGGGCUCUCAAAUUAACAAAAGGUCCAUAUAACUCUUCAAAUUGAGCCCAAGACCCAAUGAAAGUAUGGAAAUUGAGUUGAAGGAUAUCAUUCUUCAGUAUUUACAAAAAUACCCUUUGUUGAUUUUGAAAAAAAAAUUAAUAUUUUUGAAAAAUACUUUUAUUUAAUUUAAUAUUUUUUAUUUUAUUUAAUAUUUAAAAAAAUACUUUUAUGUAAUUUAAUAUUUUUAAAAUACUUUUAUUUAAUUUAAUAAUUUUAAAAAAUAAAUUUAUUUAAUUUAAUAUUUUAAAAAAAUAUUUUAAAAAAAAUAUUUUAAAAAAAAUAUUUAAUUUAAUAUUUUUUUAAAUACUUUAAUUUAAUUUAAUAUUUUUGAAAAAAAAUUUAUUUAAUUUAAUAUUUUUAAAAACUACUUUUAUUUAAUUUAGUAUUUUUGAAAAAAAAAAUUAUUUAACUUAAUUUUAUAAAAUAUUUUAUAUGUGUUUUUAAAGGGUAUAUUUGUCCGUUACUAUUUCAUAUCCUUCAACUCAAUUUGAAGAGUUACAUGGACCCUUUAUUAAUUUGGGGCCCAUCUACCCCCAAAAGAUAAUUCUCCCUUUUUUUUUUUUUUAACAUUUAUGGUUGAUAUGAAAAAUAUAUAAGGUAUUUCUUUAAGAAACACAUUUCAAAGUGGGAAAAAAAUGCCGUAGAUUUGAAAUUAUUUUUCAAACUACCAUAGUUUAAGAAUUAUUUUUUAAAGUACCGUUUUUUAAGAAUUAUUUUUUAAAAUAGCUGUAUAAGUUAAAAAAAGCCCCAAGUUACUGCAGGAAACACAUUGAGGAGUCAUGGAUGGUGGAAGUAUAGCUUUGCUGCUCCUGGACUUUCUGGACAGUCCCUUUGGACUCACAAAAGAGUCUUCAGUCACUAAAGAGGACAGAAAAUUCAUAUUGUUCGAUUUGUGUCAAAAUCCACUCGUAGAAAGUGGUUGUUGCAUCGUUUUGGAUCGCCAUAUAGAUGGUUUUGAUUCUUGUCUAAUUUUCUAUGAUAGUAAUUUUUCUUAAGUUUUCUUAGUCUCAAAAAGUGUUUAUUUUAUUUUAUUUUUUUACAAAUUAUAAAUAAAGUUUGAAUGCCUUUGGAUGGUUUAUUUCUCAAUUUUUAUGCCAAAUUUUUUGGUACAUUUCUUAGGCAAUAUCAUAUGUUUAUAUAUCAUUAAUUUGUUCUCUUAAACAAAAUUUGUUGUCAUAAAUAGGAAGAUUACGAAUGUUUAUGUAAUUGCAUGUUAAUAUUAGAAGUUAUUAAUAUAUUUAGUUACUAUAUUAUAAUUAUAUAUUUAUUAUUUAAUUAUUAUACUACAAUUAUUUUCUUUCUUUUUAGAAAUAAUGAUAAAUUAGUCUUUAUUUUCUUUUAUUAGACUUAUUUAAAUUGUAAUUGUCUUAUAUUUAUUUUAAAGAGAAUUGAUAAUAAGAAAUACCAAAUUUUCUUUUCUUUUCUCUUUGAAUCUUUUUUAGAUUUUAACAUGGUAUUAAAGCCUAGUUUGACAGGAGGCCAUGAGUUCGAGCCACCUCUUCACAUCUUUAAUGAGACUUUUGAUUUGUAAUUUCAUGAAAAAGAGUUUAAUAUCAUACGUUGUUUUCGUAUCUGUUUGAUCGUGAGAUAUAAUAAUGGGUGUUUACAUAAUUCUUUUCGUGUUUGAUCCUAAUAUUUGAUUUUGUAUUCAUUUGUUCGAUAUAAUCCAAAUUCUAUUUGUUGGAUAUGAAUCCAAAAUUCUGUCUAUCUUUCUUUUUUCUAUGUUGUUGAAUAUGAAUUCAAAUUAUAUUUGUUUCUAUUUGUUAUAUAUGAAUUCAAAUUCUCUUUGGCUUUGUCUUUUGGAAAUGAAUCCAAAAUUUGUUAAUCUUUUUUUCUUUUAUUUCUCAUUUUUCUAUGGUUUUAUGUCUUCUUCUAUCUCUAUUUAUUGAUUUCUCAUUCCUUGAUAAGUUUUAUGUUGACUUCUAUUUUUCUUUCUUUGAUGGUUUAGUUUUGUGUCUUUUUUUUUUUCUUCCUUUUUUUUCCAUUAUAGUUUUAGUUUUGUCUUAUUGUACUUUUUCUUUGAACAUAUGCUUUUUCUAUUCCUAUCGAGUCUCAUGGUGUCUUUGUGUUUGAGCUUGUUCACAUUGGUCUUUUUUUGUGAAUGAUACAAAUAAUAUCCAUGCAAAUAUUGAUAUUUGACACUUCAAUUAAACGGUGCAAAGCUCGAUUGUUUGCUAAGAGAUUUUUUCAAUAGUAUGAUUGUAAAGUUGUUUACCAAGUCAUACUUAUUUUCACAUUUUUUUAUUUUCGAUUAAAAACUUUCAAUACUUUUCGUAGUUGCAUUUUGAGCUUGUGAGGCGUGUUAGACGUUAUUAAUUAAUAUAUUUAGUUACUAUUUAUAAUUAUAUAUUUAGUUACUAUAUUUAUUUAUUUAGUUAUUAUAUUAAAAUUAUUAUUAUUUUUUAAAAUAAGAGUAAAUUAGUCUUUAUUUUAUUUUAUUAGACCUAUUUAAAUUGUAAUAAUGUUAUAUCUAUUUUAAAGGGAAUUCAUAAUAAAAAAAUCUUAAAUUUUCUUUCAUUUCUCUUUUUUUUUUUUUCUUUUUUAAUAUUUUUUGAAUUUCAACAUGUAAAAGUCUUAAGCAAGCCAAGUUGUUCAAAUUGUAAUUAUCUUUAUUUCUUUGAUCAAUCACAUUCCUAAUAUCUAUAAAGACCAUGAAAUUAUUAUUUGAUGAGAUGGUUAGAGUGAUGAGAGAAAGUGAUCGGUUGUCAUAAAUUCAUGUGGUCUUAUCAACCCUACAGGAGACUAAUGUUGGUUAAUCAUUUUCAUUUGUCGUCUACGAUGAGUCUUUAAAUUCAAAUUCAUCUAUUAAUGUUGACAACUUCAUCACAUCCACCCACUCAUUACUUUGCAUAAUCCCAUCUCUCCUUUCGUUAUUUCAAAUAUUGCGUAGCACACUUUCUAUAUUUUUUUUUAAUAUAAUUUUUUAGAGUCUUUUAAUAAAUCUUUUCGUUUCUUUCAUAAUGCCUCAAUUUUUUUCAAAUCAAUUUCUUUGUUGUAGUCUUUAUUCAAUAGAUUCCAUAAAUUUUGAGAGUUGCCCUUGAAUUGAGUUAUUAUUUAUUGUUAUGAUUUUACUACAAAAUUUACAAUUUCUUAAUAUUUUGCACAUUUUUCUUGUGUCAUAACUUUGAUAUUCCGACCCUUAAUAGAAAUUUCUAAUCGUGACACCAUAUGUUGAGACGUACACAGUUGUGAUAAUAAUUUUUACUCAAAAAAUAUUUUAUUUUAUUGAACUUAUUAACCAAUCUAUAUUUAUAAUAAAUUAAUCAUAUUUAUGUUAUAAGUCUAAUUCAUAAUUAAAAUAAGACUUAUAAAUAACAUUAAAAAAAUUAAAUAAAUAAUAAACUUGAAAUUUUCCAAAUUCCUAAAAUUCUUUUGAUUUUACUUCAGGUGGAAUUAAUAUUUUCAAUAUGUUAAACUUAUUAAAAAAAUUCUAAAAUUAAAGUUAUAGUUAAGGAGGGUUUAAGCCUUGUUUGGGAUGACAUUUAGCUAUUGCUAAACUAAUUAAUAUUGUAUUAUUUUUAUGUUUAAAAAAAUAGUUAAAUAAAAAUUAGUUAAGAGUUUUAUCCAAGUUAGGUCAGUCCUUUAAAUGCUGGCUUUAGCUUUUGAAAAGCUCUCCCAAAUAGGACUUAAUAAUAAGUGUCAUUUUGGCAGGUUGCAUGUUGAGUGGUAUGAAGCCGCAAAGUAGGAAGAUGAUGGCGUUCACAUUUGAAUCAUAAGAGUAAAGAACAGAGAAUAAGUAGGUAAAUUAAUUAUAUUGUUCAUUUGAUCUUUUUAUUUAUUUAUUUAUUUUUAUAGAUAUAGAGUUAUGACAAAAAAGGACAAAAAAAAAGUGAUUUAAAUGAUACAUACUUAAUUAUAGGUAAUUUAUCUAUUGUUGGACCUUUAACCUAUGUUUGAUUCUCAAAAAAUUUGAGAGAAAAUGUAUGUAUAUGAAAGAAAAUAGAGAAGAAAAAUAGUAAAAAAAAAAUGAAGGAAAAUAAAAUAUAGAUUUAAAGUUAAUAAAUUAAUUUUAUUUACUACUUUAAAUUUAUUUAACUUAGUUUAACUCCUCAUUUAAAAGAUUAAAUAAUUUGAAAAUAUUUAAGUUUUUAGCUUAUUUUAAUUAUAUUUUAUUUUCUUUUAUGUUUUUUUAUAGUACAAUCAAAUAUAAGAAAAUAAUUUUUCUUAUUAUUUUUUUUUUCUUAGUAUUUUUUAGGAAUCAAAUAUAAACCUUAAGGAAUAAAGGGUACUUGGUGUAACCUUAAAAAUUUUAGUACUAAUAAUUCUAAAAAAACUUUUGGAUAACCAAAUAAUCUUUCAUGGAGUUCCAAACCUCGGGUUACAACAAUCAAUAUUGAAUAAAUUUGUAGUAACAUCAAAAGAAGUUAAUAAGAAAUUAACAUUAAUGUUUAAUUUUGAUAAUACCAAGAAAAUAAAAAUAAUAAAUGAGAAAGUAAUUAUAUGGUUUGAUAAUGUGUCGAUAUUAUGGUAGAGAGGAAAUCAAUUCAUUAUAUUUAAAGAAGUAAUUACAUUAUUAAAACUCUCAAAUCUACGUGAAUAAAUCUAUUUUUAUAACAAAAUCUCAUAUAUUUCUUAAAAUUAUGCAUAUGCAUGUUGCUCGUGGAGGAAUCUAUCCAAAUAAAUUAAGGUUGGUGGAUACAAGACAAAUAUAAGUGACGUAAGACGGGACGUAAUCAAUCAUCCAAGUGAAACCACGUGUGUGAACUGUGAAGCACAAGAUUAUGGGUUACUCACCCCUUCAACUUCAUGUGGAGAAGAAUUAAUUUUGAAUUUUAUGCUCCAGCCCAUGGCCUGAAACCUAUUGGUCUCACUGUCAAUGCUGUCCUUUUUCGAAUUUGAUGACGCGAGGAGGGACGUAUGCGAUGUACGGGACAUGGUUAUAUUAUUAUACCUUAAUUAUGUUCAUUUGUACAUUUACAUAUACAAACUUUUUCUUUUUUCUUUUCUUCUCUUAAUUAUUUAUUUAUUUUUUAGUUUUUAUCUUUUACCUUUUUUCAGUUUUUUAUUUUUUUAUUUUUUUUAUACAAUUAGUAUACCCUACAGACUUCCAAAUCAAGAAAUUAAAAUUAAUUUUGAGAAUUAUUUUCAUGAAUAAAAUCAUAUUUAGAAACUUAAAUAUAACACUAUAUACUUAUUAUAUAUAAUACGAAGAUUCUCAACAUAAUCCUUGUAUUUUGAAUUAUUAAUUAAAACACUUUAUCAUAAAACACCUUAAUUUUACUGUAAAAAUAAUUAAUUUUUAGAGCAAAUUUAUAAAAAAAGAAAAAAGCUAGACAUGUUCUUAAAUUUUUAAGGAUAACUAAAGGCUGACCAAAUCCGGCAAAAGCACGUGAGAAAAAGCUUUCACAAGCAAAAUCAAUCUAAGGCGUUACCUUUAUUGCUAUUUUUCCUUUUUAUCCCAAUGUAGGCAGUGAAGUAGAAUUUUUCUGACUCUGGAUUCUUUGGGCAGUCCCAAGAUUUGGACUCAAAAGAGUCUUGGGUCAUGGGGAGAGGAGCCGAGCCUAAGGAUUCAUGUCAAGUUAAAUUAUUUGCAAAGCAGAAAGGUUAGACAUUGGAAGCAAAAGGGCGGUGAGCACAGCUAGAAAAAGUGCUUUAUCGACACAUGCUUUUGUUAAAGAGCAAUAUCAUAUCUUUCCACGAGUUUAGACACUUUCCUUCUCUUAAAUCAUAAUAUGUGGAUAUCACAAAUAUUACUUUACGUGUCACUGACUCAACCCCAGAAGUAUCCACCAAAGAUCUCUUUUUUAAUCAUAAGGCUUAAUUAAUAAUUUAGUAAAUUUAAUAAUCAUUUUUUUACAGAUAAUUCUUCAUGGGAAACUCAUGAAAUGACAUGUGAACUGUUUUGUGAAUUGGGUAUAGAUUGAUUAUCUAUAAUUAUAACCGAGGAAGCAUGGAAACCCAGAUUCAAACCGACAUGCCACGUCCCUCCAACUUCUUUAAUGGUACGUGUGGUCACUUUAUAUUGACUCUCAAGCACCAGGACAGACAGAGCCAAGUUGCAUUCACAUUACAAAUCAUUCAAUCAGAUCAGCAAAUGGGCAAUCAAUAUACCUCAAAGGUUCCUUUUUCUCCAUCUAUAAAUAGGGGUUACUCACACUUCACUCAUCCAUCCCUCCAGCAAACAAGCUUCUUUUGAGUCUCUCAUUGCUUCCCAGUUUUCAUUCCCCUAAAGUAAUGGCUUACUCCAAGACGUUUCUCCUUCUGGGUCUUCUAUUCGCUGUUGUCCUUAUCCUCUCCUCUGAGGUGUCGGCCAGAGAGCUAGCCGAGGCUGCACAUACCCGUGAGUUUCCCACUUUUUUUUACACACUUGUUAUAUCAAUUUACAGCUGAUGUACUGUGACUAAUUCAACUAAUCCAAUUUUUUUUUUUUGUUCUAAUGACAGAAGGGAGUGUGGAAGACGCUAAGUCCUGGGGACAUGGGCAUGGCCAUGGACAUGAACACGAGCAUGGCCACUGGGGACAUGAACAUGGGCACGGCCAUGGGCAUGGGCAUGGGCAUGGACACCACGGCCAUGGUGGUGCUGGUGAGACUGUGGAGAAUGAAACUGAAGCUGGCGAGAAUUAGAUAGCAUUUCUAGCUGCUGUAUUUUCACGCCCAUGGGUGGAAGUAGGUUGUGUGGUUUAUGUGAGUUUGUAUGUGAAUAAGGCAUGUGCUUGUCAGUGGUUGCCACCAAUGUUCCUCUAGGAAGAUGGUUGUGUUGCUUUGACAAGAUGUUAAAGCAUGUGUGAAACUUGCAGAUGUCAACUUAAUUAUUGUCCUGAAAUUAGAACUUUUUCCAAGUCCUUUGUCUCUAUAAGCAAAGUAAGCAAAAUAAGUAAGGUAAAAGCAGAAAGAUCAAACAGGAUUUCUCUGCAUAAUUAAGUAUCUCCAUUGAUCUUUUUUAAAUGAAGACUAAAUAUUUGUGGGUUCAGACCUCUUUACAGGUAUUUGUGGGUUCUUGAUUUCAUUGUUCCAUAUGCUCUUACUUCUCAUUGAAAAAAAGUUUUAAGUUAAAUUGAUAAUUAAAUAAUAAGUUUUAAGAUAAUAGAAUUUAAUUUAAAAUUAAUGAUCUUAAAUCAUUAAAUAUUAAGCAUGACCAUAUUAAUCCCACCAAACAAAGUAGUUGGCCAUAUAUGAUUUGCGUUUACCCAUAAUUGAAUAUUGAUUAAAUCAUGUUUAAUAUAGUGAAAUACGUAGAUAGAAAUGAACAAGUAUAGUGAUACAGCUUUGUUCUAAUAGACAUAACAAGGAAAUGAAUACAAAUAGUAUUUUCACCAUCAUAUUGUACAAAAUCAAAUACGUGGGAGAAUCCAUCCAAAGGAGCAACACAACAGAGUUAGCGAUAAGCUUGAAGAACACUUGUAAAGUUGGUGGACAUAAGGACAAAUAUAAGAUGACGUGAGAGGGGACAUCAUCAUUUUUGUAUCUGUCACGUGAGUAAAGUCGAGUCAUAAAGAAUGCUGCCCAAUAGAUGUAGGGCACCAGCCCAUAAACUGCAUGCAUAUGAAGUUGAAUGUUAAAGCUCAACCCCAGCACCUAUCAGCUAUGGGUCGGUCACUCAAUUUUUUGGGACUGGGUGAAGUGAGCAGGGACGUAUGCGAUGCAUAGGACAUGGUUGGAUAUUAAUUUGCAUGAAAUUUUUGAGCUCCAAGCCUGCAACUUGAUAUGGUAAUAUGUAAACACUGAAAAGGAAAUGUUAAACUAACAUAUGAUAAUUACCAAGCAAAAGAUUUGGACCGUUUAAGAGGAGACUAAAAAUAUGUAUGUGCAAUUCCCUGAUUGAUGAUAUCUUUAUAAUAGGUAUCGAAAAUGGUAACUACGUAGAUCCAAAGAAUUAGGAUUAGAGAUGGCAUUACGGCAACUUAGCUUUAUCCUUGCCCACUUCAUUUUGCAGUACUCUACAGAGAAGAACAAAUUAAGCUGGUCCUAUCCUACAUCGACAUGGUAUUCGGGCCACUACCCCAUGUAAUAGCAUAUUUUGUCCAGAUGGCAAAUUUUGAUGGCUUACAAGAAUUUGUGAAACUUCUUUUGUGGCUGCUAUUGCGGGAAAUUAAUCAAAUGGGAGCAUUGUGGGCUGUCUGAGUAUAGUUUUUCUACAUUUCCUUUUCUACACUUGUAUCCAAAAAUCACCUUCUCUGGUAUCCUUCUAUUUGAGGACUCCCGAGUACUUUUUCUUCUUUCCCAACACCUUAUCCCUUUCUCAACAUUAAAAGCCAUAGUCUGGAGUUCAUCAGGGUUGAAACCCUCCAAGUUUUGCAACCCCACAAAGAGGGGGAGCUUGCAAAUCACAAGACUAUUAUUUGUUAGAUUAAUUAAAGCUGAUGAAUUUUAACAUGUUUUGUGAUUUGGGUGUAGAUUAAUUAUAUGAAGGAGGCAUCAAAAGUAACAGGUUGAAACAAACCGACAAGCCACGUCUCUAGAAUUUCUUUAAUGGUAUGGUUAGACAAAAUCUUCACUCUGACACACCAAGAUGAGAACGUGUACCCAUUCACAAUAGGAAUCAUUCAAUCGCGUCAGAAAAUGGACAAUCAGUCUCUCUGAAGCUCUCCCUUUUUCCAUCUAUAAAUGCGGGUUACUCCCACUGCACUCACUCAUCCAUCCCUUGAGCAAACAAUCUUCUUGUGAGUUUUUUUCAGUCUUCGUUCCCCCAACAAAAUGGCAUACUCCAAGGUUUUUCUCCUUCUUGGCCUUCUGUGUUCUGUCGUUCUUGUCCUCUCCUCUGAGGUGUCAGCCAGAGAGCUAGCUGAGGCUGCUCAAACCCGUGAGUUCCCCACUCUUUUAGACACUUUGUAUGCAUCACUUGCUACUAUGCACAUUCUCUUGAGCUGCACAAUAGCACAUGCCAGUCAAUGGUGUUUUUGCUCUAACUGAUAGAUUAACAAAUAAGCAAAGUACCUUUCUAAUUAUAAUUAAACCAUGGAUAUAUCUUGGAGAAUUUCCUCACCACUCCUUAGCAGAAUCAAUACCGUGACUAACUAAUAACGCCCGGCCUUUUUUUACUCUUUCUAAUGGUAGAAGGGAGUGUGGAAGAAGCUAAACACUGGGGACAUGGACACGGGCAUGGACACUGGGGACAUGGACAUGGGCAUGGUCAUGGCCACAGGCAUGGACACCAUGGCAAACCCGGACAUGGUGGUGCUGCUGAGACAGAGGAAAAUGAAAGUGAAGCAGGCGAGAAUUAGGCAGAAGCACUUCUAGCUGCUGUAUGUGCACGCAUACACCGUGCAAAUAAGGUUGUGUAAUUUACGUAAGUUAGUGUGUCAAUAAGGCAUGUGUGAUCAGUGGUUGCCACUAGAGUCCCUAAGUAAGAUGGAUGCAUGGGUUUGCCAAAAAUAUUAAAGAAUCAUUAUGUUAGUUUAUUAGCCUGAAAUGAGAACUUUCUCAGGGCUCCUUUGCAUCUGUUUUUGGCUUUUAAUACCAAGAAAAAAGUUAAUGAAGCAGAAAGAAUAUGGAAAUUCAACUUAACCAAUUUGCCACGUCUCUAAAUUUUCUCCAUUUUCUUCCUUGACAUGACUCAAACAUAUGAGAGAAAACGUUGAUUAAUUCUCUUUCACAUGUAGCUAAGGACUUGGCGUAAUCUCAAUGGAAUAUUCCAAUUCACUAGAUACCUCUAAAAUUAACACUUCCGAAUCAAUCAUGUGAACCCACCGGACGGUCUCUUACUCUCCCAGUCAAUACAAAUCAUUUUAGCAGUCUUUUACCUUAUUUUAUGUUUUGAAAAUGGCUUUCUCUAAAGCUUCUCUUCCUCUUGGCCUUAUGAUUGGUGUUGUGUGUUCAUCAUCUCCUUUGGGUUUUCAGCUUGGGAGUUAGCUGAUGCAGCAGCCCAAACUUAAAGAAUCUCUAUGAAUUGUUUUUUUCAACAGGCUCAAUGAUAUCCUUUUAUAUAUAAUUUAACAUUUUAUUUUUAAAUCAUGAAACUCUGAAGGAUGCCAAUUAGUAUGGUGGAUAUGGACAUGGCUACCGGCACCAUGGCCAACCUGGUCAUGGUGGUGCUGGAGAGGAGAUGGCAGAUGAACCAGAAGGUCGCAGUUAGAUUGUUCAUCCUUAUUGGUACAGUACAACAACAUGGGGUGGAUGAUUCAGCAUAGCUGGGCUUUAUCUCUGUGUUUUCUCAUGUUGUUUCUAACCCUUUGUGCAAUAUAUUUGAGUGCAUAUCAGCGCAUGAUAUAUGCAAAAUAAUCAAAGUAAAUGUUGCUGCUUGUGAGCGUCUCUUGUCAAAGUAUAUAUAAGAAAAUAUAUACUUGAAUAGAGAUUAGUUAGUGAGAAUCAAGUUUGAAAAAGAAUUAUGAGGUUGUUUGAUGUGAGGACAAAUGAAAGAACAAUGACGUGAGAGGUGACGCAACCAUAAGCAUGAUAUAUACUAUAGGGCUUAGGAUGCAUCCCCAUGUAGAAAUGUAGGGCCCCAAGUCCCUGAGUUGCAUGUGAGGUUUAACUUAGAGCUCAAAGCCAAGAGCCAUCACGCUCACCCUUGGGUCACUCAGCGGUAUUCUCUUCAGGACUUCGUGACGUGAGGAGGGACGUAUGCAAUGUACAUGAUUGGUCGAAGAAUUUUGUUAUCCAAGAGAUCAUUCUGAAGAAUAUCUUUGAACCACGAUAUGACAUGCUAAUAUCAUUGAAGUUAAAUCAGCAACUUUCUAAAAAUAUUGGUAAAAAAAAAAAAAAAAGUUAAAAUGAUCAUAAAAUUUUCAAUUUAUUUCCAUAAAAAGAUCAUUUAAAAGCUUAUUUAAUAAUUCUUAUAAUUUUUUUAAUAAAAUUUGAGAUUUUUUUUCUUCCAAAUAAGUAUAAAAUCUUUUGAAAGUGAUGAAAUAUUUUACUUAGAAAUUAUCUAUUAUAUAAAAAUAUGUCUAACAUAAUAAAUGUCUUGAUAUCUAAACUUUUAAUGAAAUGAUGUAUCGAUUAAGAAUUUGAUAUUUAUCAUUCUCUAAAGUUCAAAUGAUCAUGAAAAAUUUUGAAAUUUUCAAAUGAUGGAAGAGAAUAUACCAUGAAAAAAUUAUUUAACAAAAUAUAAAAUACAAAAUGAUAAAAAAAAAAAAUUAUAAGAUGGAAAAAAAUUCAGAUAAGGUUAGUAUAUAAGAAACAAAGUGAUAAAAAUAGAAUAAAAGAAAACAAUAAAUAAAGGUGUUAUUAUAUUUCCUCUUUAAUUUUAUUUAACUUAACAAAGUAAAGAUUAAUUUCACUCAUUUAGAUUAAGUAUAUUAAGUUGUUGAUGUUUGGAUUAAAUAUACUUAGUUAUUAUUAACCUAACAUUUGGGUAAAUAAGGAAAUACAAAUAAAUGAAAUAACAAAUAAAUAGGAUUACAAAAUGUAUUUGAUGAAAUUUCAAAUUUAUGAUGAUUAUGUAUAAUUCAAACCUUAAGAGAGGAGAGUGAAAUUAAUUUUAUAAAAUAGAUUUAUUUUUAUUUUUUAAAAUCUCUAGUUAUAUAUAAGAAUUUUCUUUCUUUUUUUAAUUUAUGGGGAAUAAUACAUAAGAUGUUUUUUUUUUCUUACAUACCAAUUUUAUUUGUCACCUAUUAUGUUGAGUUGUCCGAAGUCUAAUUGUAUUGUAUAUUGGUUCCAAAUCACUAUCCUCUUGUCACCUAACUUGAAGUUGUACAUUUACCAAAUCAUCACCUAACUUAAAGUUGUACACUUAACUAAUCUAACUAAAAUACUUAAUCCUUAAUGAAUACCACAAUCAUCUUAAAAAAUCUUCUACAAAAGCUACGAGUCUCUAGAAAGUCUCUAAAACUAUACGACAGAAAACCCAUGAGGCAAGAAGCUUAUAAAAAGCCUUUAAAUUCCUUCAAGUGAGGAAAGAGAUAGAGAGUUCCAUCUCCAAGCAGAACCACCUUCAAAUAGUUUGAGAAAAACCUCCACAUCUGAAAAAAUUUGCAAAAACAUAGAAAGACUAUUGUAAGUGUUGAGACGUCAUUUGUUUUUAUUUUUGGCUCUGGCCAGCCGUACCACCGAACUGUACCAGACGGGGGCAUCA
rnacentral:lncRNA from 1 species